UCCACCCUACCGUCAGGAGUAGUAGCCUAGCUACUGUACGUAUGUGAUGUUGGACGCGCGUGCUUAUGUCACUUCCCUGUGCUCGCUCGUGCUAAUUAUUGGUGUGAUGCGUAUUGUCGCCUGCUAAAGUGCUACGUAUGUGUUGUCGUUGUAGUACCACGAUCGACUUGUAGAAGUACUGUGCUACUAGCUGGGAUCGUCGAGUGAGUGAGCUUGCUGGCUGUAAAUCAACAAGUGUGUGGCUACCUGUGUACUCUACGUGGUUGUAGUACGUAGCUAAUUGUUCUCCGUGUGUCUAGCUGAACUGAAGCAGUGUGGCUAGCUGAGGCCUCCGGGCCAUGUAUGUAUGUAUGCCAAUGCCACGUAGCAUGCGCACCGAGCUUACAAGUAGCAAUGGUAAUCAUCAUGUCGCCGUCUUUGUAAGUGCCAUUGUACAUAUGAAUAUGAGGGUAUCACUGUAUCAGUAAUUAUUCGGUAUCACCUGGUAACAGUGACAGUAUAACACGCACUACCCUCCUACAUCUACAUGGCUGACGAAAUUGCAUUACCCUCCUACAUCGUGCGUAUGAAUAUGAAGGUAUCAGUAAUUAUUCGGUAUCACGUGGUAACAGUGACAGUAUAACGCGCGCUAGCCUCCUACAUGGCAGAGGAAAUUGCACAAAUCACUAAUUUGUUGUAAAAGGAAAACUACGAUUUGGGCAGUGCAUGCACGCCUGCCUUAACGGGAAAUGGCUCUAGUGCUGUCCUCCCGCGACCCCGUCGGCGCCGCGGCUCGCUCGCCUGCGCCGUCGCCUCCACCGCCCUGCGCUGCUCUGCCACCCCCGUCGGGGAGACGAUGCCGUUGCGCUGGGUGGAUUUGGCGAAGGAUGAUGACUCCGCCACUGGCCGUCCUACCAUCCGGCGCACGCCUCCGGCUCGCCGGGCUGUGCUGCGCCCGACGCUGGUCGACGCGCCGAGUCGGGGAGUCCCCUCCCCACCCCAUGCUCGUCGGCCGGUAUCGCUCCCCCUCUUCCCGACGCCUGGCCAAAGGGCCGACCUUGGGUCGCGAACCGCUCGCCGCCGCCGCGCUCCGGCAUGGGGCGUCACGGGGCGGUCCGACCUGGGUCGUGCCCGGUCCUCAUGGCGCUCGUCGGCAGCUGCCUCUGGCUAUCGGCCUGCCACCUUCCCGGCGGCGUCAUCUUCGCCGGUGGUCGCCCGCACCUUGCCGUUUCGGCCGUUCAUCGCAGCUUUUGGCACCUCCUCGCUUCGUUUUUCGCCCAGCCACCCUCCUCGUCGCCCCAUGGACACUGGAACGCCUGGUCGUGGGAAACCCUAGUCGCAGCUUUUGGCACUAGGGGAAACCCUAGUCGUUGUUGCCCCGUCUCGCUGGCUGGGACGCCCGGUCGUGGGCCGCUCUAGUGUUGGGCCUGGAUUUGGACCAUGGGCCUGUGCUGGCAGCUCCGCUUCCGGGCCCAGCCUUAGCUGCGGUCCUGGUGGGCCGGCCUGCCCGGCCAUCAGGCCUAUUUGGCCGCAUGCGGGCUUCCCUCGCCCCCAUCCCAUUCCCCCCGUGCCCUAACCCUCGCUCUUUCGACCCCCGCUGCCAACACCCUGCUCCCUCCCCCGUCGUCGCCGAACUCGCCGCCGGCCACCAUGCCCCGCGAGUGGCACGACGCUGGGACGCGCCCCAAGCCGUGCGCCGACGACCGCCGCCCUGAACCCUCCCGUGCGGAGGAGCGGCGCGACUCCUUCCGCCCGUCCCCCGAUGCGGUUCGCCAUGAGUCCGAGCUCCGCCGACAGCUCUCCUCCCACGGCGACCACCGGUCUCCCGCCCACGACGACCUCUGCGCCCCUCACGCCGAUCUCCUCCUCGCGCGGACCGCUGUGGCCGCUCCCGCUCCCCCCCGGCCACAGACCGACGCGAUGCUCGACGCUUGUCACCUUCCCCUCCGCGCCGUCGGGAUGCCAGCCGCUCCCCGGCCCGGGGCGGCCGCGCUCGUUCCCCUGGCCGCUCCCAUGGGCGGCAGGCCCCCCUCCCGCUGCCAUCGCGGUUCGCCGCUACCAGUCACCUCGGGGCGAGCCGAGUCUUCCCCCGCCGGCAAUGGGGCGGGACGGGGCCGACCCGGUGGCAAGCGCAAGAAGCGCGGUCUUGGGCGCUCAAACGGCACUGCCCCGGCCAAUGGCGCCACCCGGGAUCUCACCGCCUCGACUACGACCACUCUCCUCCCCGACGUCCGCUCCUUCGACCUCGUCAAGUGCUCCAACUGCGGCCUCUCCGGCCACUCCCAGGUGGCAUGUACUCGUCCUCGGUGUUGCUACCUCUGCUCGGACCCGGACCACCCCGCCUUCCUUUGCCCUAACGUCUAGUGGCGGAGGAGCUGAUGAUGUACGGGAACGGGAUUGAGGGCCUCGGCAACUUCCACAUCAAGGUGCCCGACAUCCUUGCCCCCUCACCGUCACUCCUGGCCAUUGUUACCGUGAAGGAUGGGGUGGCCUCGCUGAAGAUGAUUGAGGCCGAGCUCAACCACCUCUACCACUGCACCUGGGAUUGGCAGGUCACCUUACUCUCUGGAGGCCAGUUCUCGGUCGUCUUCCCGGACGCGGUCAGCCAUGGGUACGGCACCCGCAGCGGAGACAUCACCCUAGCUCUCAACAAGUUAGUGGUGGACAUCUCCAUGCCGGUGCGGGACCCCUUGGCGGUCGCGGUCUUGGACACGGCCUGGAUCCUCAUUGGUGGCCUCCCGGACAUCGCCCGCUCCGAGCGGGUCAUCCAGAACAUGUCUCGCAUCCUCGGCAAGGUGGUAGUGGUCGACGAGCUCUCCCUCUGCAAGGAGGAGGAGGUCCAGGUUAAGGUCAAAUCUCUCGACUCCUCCAGGCUCCGUGCCACCAUCCGAGUGUUCUUCAAUGACCAGGGCUUUGACCUCCGCAUCUCCAUGAGCCCCCCAACCACAUUGGCCUCCCUCGCAUCGACGACAGCUUCCUGGGGACGGCACCGAUGGGGGUGGCACUGGUGGCCACCGCAGCGACUGCGACCCUCGUCACGGCCACCCCUCUAGCUCGGACGACGAUGACGACUUUGAGGACAGCCCCACCACGACCAGCCGCCUAUGCCGGCCGCCAGGGGUGGGGUUGGGGCGGGUCGUACCCACGCGGCGACCCUAUCCCCCGAUGACAGCCUCAACGCCUCUGAUGCUAGCCUCCAGGUCUUUCCGGCAUAUUCGCCCCGCUCCCCCGACGGCAUCUCCCUCGGCAUCUUCGCCUUCUCUCCAGCCAGGGCUGACCCGGCGCUGCUCGACCCUCCCCCUCCCCCCCUCCCGCGCCCUGAUCUCCAGUUGGCGCCGCUGGGGGUCUCGGCCCUGGACCCGGCCUCGCCUCUUCCGGUGCUUCCGGAGGUGGCACCUGGCUCUCCGGCUCGGCCGGUCAGUCCGCCUGUGGUGGAUGAUGCACCUUCGGACCCACCUCCCUCCCCUGGCAUUCCCUGCAUGACGACCCUUGCUCCUCUCCUAGCGCCUUCGAGCUCUGCUUCCAUGGGCCUGGCGGUGGUGGUGACCACUCCGAUGACCGGUCCUCCCCCUCCCCCUCGGACUGCGGCCUACUCCAGGAGGGGUCAUUCGACCUCGACCCCGGUGUCCUCUUUGCACCGCAGUGCCCGGAUUGAGGCGGCCAGGCCGACAGGUGGCCCGUCCCUUCCUAUCCCUGAGCUAGUGAAAGAACAUGUGGUGCCUCCAUGUUUGGUUUUGGUAAUUGAUGACAAUCUCUGUGGACUAAAGGUUGCCUUGAGUUAUAUUUGAAGGUUUUGUCCAUAUGCUUUUCUUAGAGUACAUUUGUUGGUUUCAACGAGAGUUUGUGAUGACCAAGGUGUUAUUCAAGGAAUUACCUAAAGAUUGGUCUUGUGAGAGGUUGAUCAAGACUAAGUAAAAGAGUGAAUCAAGUUGAUCAACACACAAAGCGUAGAAGAUGUACCGAGAGGGAUCAAGCGAUCCCAUGGUAUGGUAAGCAUUGUCAAUUACGCUUUUGUGUACUAACCCAUGAUCUUCGUGGGAGUUCUUUGUGGGGUUAGGUUGUGGUGUGCAAAUUCAAGUGAAGUAUCACGAAGAGAUCAAAUGCUUGAAGCUUGUCGUCCAUUGUGGUGACAAUGGACUUGUGAAGAUGUGCGGAAGAGUGGCUCACCCAUAGUGGAGUAUGGGGGAGCAAUCAACUAGUCUUCAUGGAGCCAACACAAUCAAGAAAGGUGGUCCAACUUGAGGGAGUCAAGAUCGUCAUCAUCUAGCUCAAGUGGACCACGUGCAAUGCAAAGGUUUGCCCUUCAUAGGUUUUCUAUUUUACCGGUCUCAUGAUGGUAGUUGGGAGACCGGGUUAUAGGAUUGAUUGCCGUACUAUCAAGGGGGGCUCUCGAUGAGUAGCUUGAUCGUAUCAUUCGUAGAGAGCUCAAACCAUUGCAUUCUUGCAUCAUAUUUCUUAGUUCUUGUUUGGUUCUCUUUGUGAGUCUUAGAUCUUAUGGUCAUCUUGAUGACAAGCUUGAGUUCAUCAAAAACGGAGUUCGCAUGUAUCUUCUAUAAUGUUUUCGGUGUUGGAGGUUUUACCGGUCUUAUCCGAGGAAGGGUUCUCACCAUUUUCUUAUGGUCCUUUUCUCAUUUGAUUCUUAUUGUUAUUUCUAUCAAGAUUGUGUUAUCCCUUGUCACUAGCUUUCCAACAAACUUGGUUUCGUUGAAUUCGGAGUCCGUUUGCAGAAGUUGUGUCAGUUUUGGUGUCCUCUUAAAAGCUGCAGCGGUACUACCGCUCGUGGGAGCUGUACUACCGCUUGGGCGGUAAUACCGCGGCUACUUCCGUGGCUACUUCCGCUCCAGACCAAAAACUCGUCAUAAGUCCAGCGGUGGUAGGCACGGAUGUAAUUUUUUAGUACCGCUACCCUUAGCGGUAGUACCGCUACCCCUUGCGGUAGUACCGCUACCCCUUGCGGUAGUACUGUGAGGACGAGCGGUAGUACCGCUCUGUGCGGGCUGUGAGCAUAACGAUUGGAUUUUUUCCCACCUAUAAAAGGGGGUCUUCUUCCCCAAUGAACCUUAUCUCUUGAGCUCGUGUUCUUCCCCCAUUGUUGACCUUCUUCGAGCUUGCUAACUCUCAAUCCCUCCAUGGAUUCUUUCUAGUUUUUGAGGGAAAAGAGAGAGGAGAUCUAGAUCCACAUUUCCACCAAUCACUUUCUCCUCUAUGUGAGGGGAACCCCUUGGAUCUAGAUCUUGGAGUUCUUGGUGUUCUCUUUCUUGUUCUUCCUCUCAUUUUCCUCCCUAGCAUUAGUUGCUUCGGUGGGAUUUGAGAGAGAAGGACUUGGGCACUCCGUAUGCCCUUGCCAUUGCAUUUGGUGCAUCGGUUUGAGUUCUCCAUGAUGAUACGUGGAAGUUACAAGGUGAUAAGCUUAUUACUCUUGGGUGCUUGGUACCCUUGAGCUUGUUCCUCUUGGGUGCCUGGGCGCCCUAGACGGUUGGUGGUGUUUGUAGCUCAAUCAUUAUGGUGUAAAGCUCCGAGCAAGCGUCGGGGUCUUCAAUGUGGAGAUUGCCCCGAGCAAUUUGACGGGUUUCGGUGACCGCCCCCAAGGGUUGGCAAAGUGUACGGGUUUGGUGACCGCCCCCAAGGGUUUCCGUUUGUACGGGUUCGGUGACCGCCCUCAAGGGCCCCUUAGUGGAAUCACGGCAUCUUGCAUUGUGCGAGGGCAUGAGGAGAUUACGGUGGCCCUAGUAGCUCCUUGGGGAGCAUUGUGCCUCCACACCGCUCCAAACGGAGAUUAGCAUCCGCAAGGAUGUGAACUUCAGGAUACAUUGUCGUCUCCACGUGCCUCGGUUAUCUCUUACCCGAGCCCUUUACUUAUGCACUUUACUUUGUGAUAGCCAUAUUGUUUCUUGUCUUAUAUAUUGCUAUCACAUAGUAGCUUAUAUUGCUUAGCAUAGGUUGUUGGUGCACAUAGGUGAGCCUAGUUGUUGUAGGUUUUGUGCUUGACAAAUUAACCGCUAGGUUUAUUCCGCAUUUUUUCUAGCCUCAACCGUAAUUAUUUUAAAACGCCUAUUCACCCCCCUCUAGGUGACAUCCACGAUCUUUCAAUUGGUAUCAGAGCCUCGUCUCUCUUUGUUAGGCUUAACCGCCUAUAGAGUAAAGAUGUCGACUAGGGGAUUGGGAUUCUCUGACACUCUUAGUUUCGAUGGCACAAAUUUUGAUGUUUGGGUAACUCGCAUGCUAAAUCUCUUUAGGGUCAUGGACCCAAACUUAGAGCGAAUUGUAGAUAUGGGUUUUUCUCCUCCAAAGGAUCCCCAAAGAUUAUCUUUAUAGGAUGAGAAAAACUCUUAUCUCAAUGCUCAAGAUUCUAAUGUGUUUUUCGAUGCUUUGAGCAAUGUAGUUAUAUUUCAACUCAUGUCGUUCCGGGAUGCUCAUGAGUUGUGGACAAAGCUUCAAGAUAAAUAUGGUGUGUCCAAGAUUUGUGGGGAUGAUCGUUCUCCCUCCACCUCCGGCCAUGUUGCCUUCUCAAGUUCUUCUACUUCGCCUACAUGUGGAUUGCCACAAGGUAAUGCUAUGGUGAGUAGUGUUGGUCAUUGCAAUGAUGAUAGUGUGCUUAUCGUUGAUGACUCUUCUUCACUAUCUUGUUGCAAUGCUCCAUCUUUGGACUUUAGCACUUCGAGCACUCCAAAUGUCUCACAUGCUUGUGUUGAUAGUCCUUGCAUAUCAUGUAGAAGUUGCUUGACUAAAUCUCAUGAUGAUAUGCUUGCUAUGCCUUGUUGCCAUGAUAAAAAAUGUAUCUAUUUCCUCGAGUUGUUGUGCUAACAAUGUAGAGGAAAUCCAACACUCCAUGGAACAAGAUGUGGUCUUGAACGGUGCUUCAAGGGAUCCUAAAUCAUCAUCAAUUGCUUUUUGCCUUAUGGCUAAGGCUUCAAAGGUAUCUCACACUUUGAAUCCCAAUAUAUCUUGUGAUGAUAUUGAUGAUGGCAAUAAUGAUGAUGAUGUUGAUUAUGAUGAAUAGAAUGAUCAUGUUGCCUCCUUAAAAAUUAAGGGGGAAAUGGUUUUUAAAGCUCUUCAUAAAAAUAAAAUUGCUUGUUCCAACUUCAUGGAAAUUAUGUCCAUUGCCAUUGAGGGCAAGAAAUAUAUUGAGGAGUUGGAAUCUCAUCUCGAGGAGCAUGAGGUCACCAUUGAGAAAAUGAAAGGUCAUGAGCAUUAUUAUGCUAAUGAGAUUGCAGACCUCUCUCAAGCUCUUGAACAUGAACAAACCACCAAGGAAUCUCUUGAGGAGACUUUUGCUCUAGAAUUAUAUAGAGUGAGGGAAUCUCGUGAUAGAGCUCUUGAGGUGGCCAAUGAUUUUGAAACUAAAAAUGAGGAGCUUGAAGUUGCGCAUGCUAAACUCCUUGAGGACUUUGAGCACCUCGAAAAUGGCUCAAGGGUCAUUAAGAGUGAGCUCAUCAAACUCACCAAGUCUCAUGCUCAACUUAAAGCUUCAUAUUCAAAAUAGCUUGCCAAGUUGUCUUCUCCUCUUGUUGCUAAUGAUGAUGCUUCUACUACUAACUCUAUCUCUUGUGAAACAUCCAUAUUGAAGGAGAAUGUUGAGCUAAGGGCUCAACUUGAGUUGCUAUCUAGCAAUUAUGGGAUGUUGGAAGAAAAUCAUGUAAAGCUCACAAGCUCUCAUGAUGAUCUUCUAGUAUCCCAUAAUGUGCUAAAGUUAGCUCAUGAGGCCAUUCUUGCUAAGGUAACAUCUAGUGAGCCUCAUGUGGAUACUAGCACUACUUUUAUUCAAAAUGCUAUAUUGCCUUGUGCUAGUCCUCGCGAUUCGUCCAUGCAUAACAUUGGUACAUCUUGUGAUGAAUUGCUUUCCUUGCCUUAUUGCUCUAAAGAUGAAGCUUAUACUUCCUCCAGUGCUUGUAUUGAGACUAACCAUGUAGAGGAAAUCAAAGAGCUCAAGGCCCAAGUCACUUCUUUAAAGAAAGAUUUGGAAAAGUUUCAUGAAGGGAAUGCCACACUCAACAAUAUCUUGAGUGUACAAAAAUCCCCCAAUGACAAUGGUGGACUUGGAUUCAACUCCAGUAAGAAGAAGUACAAGAGCAACAACAAGAAGGGCCAAAAACAAGUCAAGUUUUCGGCCAAGAUUAUUUGCUUCAAGUGCAAAAUUGAAGGGCAUCAUGUUACCCAUUGAAGAAGAAGUCCAUUAGUGACAAGCAACAAAGGAAGCGGCUACAAGUGCAUUCUCAUGCUCAACCUCAAGUUGAAGAAAGGCCUCUUCCCAAGAAGACUAAAGCUAAUGCUUCUCAAGUUGAGAAAUCAAGUGAGAAGAAAGUGAAGAGUAGACGUUGCUACCUAUGUCGCGAGAAAGGUCACCUCGCUUCUUCAUGCACUAGUGGUAACUUAUCCAACCCAAUUAUUAUUGAUGAUGUCUAUUCUCUUGGGAAGGAUAAGGUUGGCAAUGUGGUUGCCAAGUUUGUUGGUACUCAAAGUGGUUUGAAGCAAAGAACCAUUUGGGUAGCCAAGCCUAUUGUGACUAACCUCUUAGGACCCAACUUGGUUGGGGACCAAAAAGCUCAAACUUGAUCAAUAGGUGAUGUUGGAGGUCAUUGGAGACUUGGCUACAUUAUGAAGAAUUAAGGGGACUUCAUCAUUCUUAUUGUCUCAAGCCAAGUUACUCGGAUUAUCAAGUUUCUAUCUUAUAUCCAAUGUUCCUCCUUGCGGUAACUCGUGCUUAAAGUGUUUACAUUGAUAGUUACUUGUCCCUUUGCAUGUUUGGGUUCGUUCCUUGCAUGUGUUUGUAUAUGUUGUGCUUCCAACUUGAUUAUCUUGAGCAAUCAAGUAUGUGUGUGUCGGUUUUCACAUCAUGUACGUGUGUGUCUUGCAUUGAGCCUUUUGCAUCUUGUUGAUUUCUUAGUUGGCUCUUGUGAGAGAUUAAUGUAAUAUCCCAUUAUGGGGGAGUGAUGUGCUUUGUGCACCUCACAAUCCUAUAAAUGUGUGUACAUGAGUAAUACCAUCCAGUAUUGAUAUUUCAAAAUUAUCUAGUCGUUAUGUGGUAUGUCUUCUCAUGAGAAAUUCAAAUUAUAAAUAGUCCAUUAAUUAUCUCUUGUUGGAUCCUUUUAUUUGCCUCUUGUUUAUCCUUAAUCGGUAUCACAUUAUGGGGGAGUAAUAUGCUAUGUGUAUAUUACUAGCCUAGAAAAUGUGUACAUUUGAGAUAUUUUCACCUAGAGUUGGUAUUUUAAAUUAUCUUGUUCCUAGGUGGCAUGUUAGCUCUACAAGUUGCAUUUUGCUUUUUGUUUGGUGUGAAGAUGAUGCCGGAUAACCUUGCUAUCUACCACCGGGAAUUAUUUCCAUUUACUUCUUGUCUUUUGACAAUUGAUACUCACUUGUGUGGUAGAAUUUGUUGAUCAUAUUUACAUUGGCGUUUGCUUUUAUUUGCCUUCCCUUUGCCAAGGAAUGUAUCAACUCCCUUUGUCUUCCAUACCACUUGUGGAUCUUGUUUAUUUCUUGAUCUUGUCUAGUGUUUUCUAGAUAUAGUGAAAGUGGUGAUCCCACCUUGUGCAUUUAUUAUUCAAAUGCAAAUUCUCUUUAAUGCACUAGUCUUGGGGGAGCUAUCCUAUUUUCUAUAGAACACUCAUCUUCCGAUCCUUAUCAAGUGUGUGUUGGUGGAAGGCAAGCCGUUUUCGUUUUGGUACUUUGUGCCAUCAUGAAACUUUGUAGAGAGCUUGGUUUGUUUGGAACCAUCCUCUCUUUUGGGAGUUUGGUAUCUUUUAUUUUGAGUGUGUCUGUCGGCGUUCUGGGAACGGGGAUCCCCAGACCUGCCUGCCUGCGGCCCAUGGCGUGGCUGAGCCAGCAGGCCGUACGGCCCUUCUUCAUCAACAAGGCAUCCAAGACCCUCGCGAGGGUCCAAGCCUCGUGAGGCAGACGACGCAAGACCUCCUCUGGAGUGGCCUGGUCAGGCAGGCUCACAGGAGCGGAGAUAUCAAGGCGGGGCGAACCUCACGAAACUCUCGUGACGUGAGCCAUGACGCACAACACCAGGCGGGCGCCAGCGCGUGCAGUGUCCUCAUUUACUCUUUGGUGCUAAGGAGGCAAGCGCAGGCGAGGAGUACCGAGGCCUGAUGACCCACAAGUAUAGGGGAUCUAUCAUUGUCCUUUCGAUAAGUAAGAGUGUCGAAUCCAACGAGGAGCAGAAGGAAAUGAUAAGCGGUUUCCAGCAAGGUAUUCUCUGCAAGUACUGAAAUAAGUGGUAAUAGAUAGUUUUGUGAGAAGAUAAUUUGUAACGAGCAACAAGUAACAAAAGUAAAUAAGGUGCAACAAGGUGGCCCAAUCCUUUUUGUAGCAAAGGACAAUCCUGUACAAACUCUUAUAAGAUGUAAAGCGCUCCCGAGGACACAUGGGAAUAUCGUCAAGCUAGUUUUCAUCACGUUCAUAUGAUUCGCGUUCAGUAAUUUGAUAAUUUGGUAUGUGGGUGGACCAGUGCUUGGGUACUGCCCUUACUUGGACAAGCAUCCCACUUAUGAUUAACCUCUAUCGCAAGCAUCCGCAACUACAACAAAAGUAUUAGGGUAAACCUAACCAUAGCAUGAAACAUAUGGAUCCAAAUCAGCCCCUUACGAAGCAACGCAUAAACUAGGGUUUAAGCUUUUGUCACUCUAGCAACCCAUCAUCUACUUAUUACUUCCCAAUGCCUUCCUCUAGGCCCAGAUAACGGUGAAGUGUCAUGUAGUCGAUGUUCACAUAACACCACUAGAGGAGAGACAACAUACAUCUCAUCAAAAUAUCGAACGAAUACCAAAUUCAAAUGACUACUAAUAGCAAGACUUCUCCCAUGUCCUCAGGAACAAAAGUAACUACUCACAAAACAUAAACAUGUUCAUAAUUAGAGGGGUAUUAAUAUGCAUAUAGGAUUUGAACAUAUGAUCUUCCACCAAUUAAACCAACUAGCAUCAACUACAAGGAGUAAUUAACACUACUAGCAACCUACUAGCACCAAUCCCGGCCAGACUUGAAGACAAGAAUUGGAUACAAGAGAUGAACUAGGGUUUUGAGAUGAGAUGGUGCUGAUGAAGGUGUUGAUGGAGAUUGCCCUCUCCCGAUGAGAGGAGUGUUGGUCAUGACGAUGGUGAUGAUUUCCCCCUCUGGGAGGGAAGUUUCCCUGGCAGAACAGCUCCGCCAGAGCCCUAGAUUGGUUCCGCCAAGGUUCCGCCUCGUGGCGGCGGAGUUUCGUCCGAGAAGAUGGCUUAUGAUUUUUCUUCCCAUCGAAAGACUCCAUAUAGCAGAAGAUGGCCACCGGAGGGCCACCAGUGGGCCCAUGAGGUAGGGGGCGCGCCCAGGGUGGUAGGGCACGCCCCCCACCCUCGUGGGCAGGGAGUGCCCCCCUGGUGAAGUUCUUGCUCUCAGUAUUUUUUAUAUAUUUGGAAAACAUCUUCCGUGAAGUUUCAGGACUUUUGGAGCUGUGCAGAAUAGGUCUCUAAUAUUUGCUCCUUUUCCGGCCCAGAAUCCCAGCUGCUGGCAUUCUCCCUCUUUAUGUAAACCUUGUAAAAUAAGAGAGAAUAGGCAUAAGUAUUGUGACAUAAUGUGUAAUAACAGCCCAUAAUGCAAUAAAUAUUGAUAUAAAAGCAUGAUGCAAAAUGGACGUAUCAACUCCCCCAAGCUUAGACCUCGCUUGUCCUCAAGCGAAAAGCCGAAAUCGAAAAAUAUGUCCACGUGUUUAGAGAUAGAGGUGUCGAUAAAAAUAAAAUACGGACAUGAGGGCAUCAUGAUCAUUCUUAGAACAACGACUUAUAUAAUUCUUGUCAUAUGAUAUCUAAUGCUAGAGUAAUAAUUCAAUCGCAAUAUCAAGUAUGAAUCGUAAACUUCAUUGAAAACUAACAAACUACAAUCUCAGUCAUUGAAGCAGUUGCAAUUUAUCAUAACAUAGGAAAGAGUCAAUGUAUAAGAGCUUUUCAGUAAGUCCACAUACUCAACUAUCAUAUAAUCUUUCACAAUUCCUGACACUCAUGCAAUACUUAUGGUUAUGGAGUUUUAAUCAGACACAGAGAAAGAUAGGGGCUUAUAGUUUUGCCUCCCAACACUACAAAAAAAGACACAUCCGUGACAUUUUGGGCCAAACAAAAAAAUUUUCUGUCAUACAUAUGACACUUCUAUGACGAUAAUUGUGACAAAACCCGGUAUCAUCAUAGAUGUGGUGGGAUCCUACUUCUAUGACAAAAAAUCAUGACAGAAAAUGGGCUUUUCGUCCUGGGCGGGCCGGAGACGCAGUUGCAUGACAUUCUUUGGGCCGUCCAUGACGGAAAAAACCAUGGUAGAAGCGAGGGGGAGGAAAAUUUCGGGGAGUUCCCGGUUACGGUGGGAGGUCGGGGGCCGAGCGAUGUGCGCUUCUCUCGUACACGUACGCGCGUGUGUGCGAGGCGUUGGCUCUAACUGAACCCGAGCGAUUGCACUGCAGGCUACGCGUUACUAAACCCGAGCGAUCGAUCGAUGGCUGUUAACUGAACCCGAUCGAGCGAUUCCUUCGCUACUGCUGCUAACUGAAGCGGAUCGAUGUUGCCUCUGGAUGAACAGNNNNNNNNNNNNNNNNNNNNNNNNNNNNNNNNNNNNNNNNNNNNNNNNNNNNNNNNNNNNNNNNNNNNNNNNNNNNNNNNNNNNNNNNNNNNNNNNNNNNNNNNNNNNNNNNNNNNNNNNNNNNNNNNNNNNNNNNNNNNNNNNNNNNNNNNNNNNNNNNNNNNNNNNNNNNNNNNNNNNNNNNNNNNNNNNNNNNNNNNNNNNNNNNNNNNNNNNNNNNNNNNNNNNNNNNNNNNNNNNNNNNNNNNNNNNNNNNNNNNNNNNNNNNNNNNNNNNNNNNNNNNACCCCGAUCGAUCGAGCCGGUUGGGGCUGGAUGAACAGGACCCCGUGGAGGGCUGGAUGAACAGGACCACCCCGUGGAGCGCAGGAUGAACAGUAGACGGUGGAGGGCAGGAUGAACAGGAGCCCGUGGAGAGGGGUGGUUGAAAAGUAGCCGGUGGAGUAGCGUGCGGUGGAGGCUGGAUGAACAGGGUCCCGUGGAUGAACAGUCGCAGGUGGUGGUUGGAGGAGGUCGACGGUGGAUGAACAGUAACUCGUGGAGGCUGGAGGGGGUCGACGAUGGAGAUGAACAGUAUCUCGUGGAGUCCCGUUUUGCGGCAUGCCACACCCCUCCCGAUGAACAGGACCCCCGUUUCGAUCGUAGCGCUCCAACACAAGUCCGUUUCGUCCGUUUUGUGGUACGCCACACCCCUCCCGAUCAACAGGACCCCCGUUUCGACCGUAGGAGGUCCGUUUCCUCUGUUUUGCGGUACGCCAGACCCCUCCCGAUGAACAGGAUCCCGUUUCGAAUGUGGCCGGUCGAACACAAGGCCGUUUCCUCCGUUCUGCAGUACGCCAGGCCUCGUUUCCAUCGCUUGUUCCAUCCAAGCCCUCACGAUGAACACGACGCAUUUCGUUGCCUCCCCAUGAACAUGACGCAUUCCGUUGCCUCCCCAUGAACACGACGACGACGUUGUUCCUCCGUUCCGACCCAGCCAUGUACACGAGCCCUGGCCGUACAUAUGUGCGAGUAGGCGUUCGAGACCCCGCCCGUAUGUACACAUAUGUGGCCGUAUUUUCUUUCUUGCACCCUGGCCGCUGUACGUACGUGUAAAUGCUACGUGCGCGCCUCUACUACGACACGUGCGCGCCUCUACAUCGACCAGUAUGUACAUACACGUUCGCGACCAGAAUGACAACGCUACGUAUGCUUCGACCAGGUGGGUCCCGACUAUCAGGCACUUCCUUGCCUGCAAAGAUGUAGCUGGUGGGUCCCAGCAGUCAGGGGGCGAAUCGUUUUUUUGCUCGGACGCACUUCCUUGCGUGCGAAGAUGUAGCUGGUGGGUCCUAGCAGUUAGGGGGAAACGUUUUUUUCACGAAAUACGGUGGCCCGUUCGGUGGGCCCCGUUGUCAGGUGGAGGAAUAAUUAUUUUGCACGUAAUAAGGAGGCACUUCCUUGCUACGGUCGUGGACCCAGCUGUCAGCCUCUCCACAUAUAGUCCAUGUCCGAUGGAAGUUGUUCCUUGACCACGUUGACCAUGCCACGCCGAGAGCACCAGGGCGGUGGACGAUGGCGAGGCCUAGGAAGGGGACGACGCAGAGCCGGGGAAGACGCGGCAGUGGAUGCCCAUGCGUAGAGGAGUACGAGGUUCACUGGUUCGCUGCGGUGUGAGGCUGCCGUCGCCGCAGAAUAACAGGGGGGGUGGGUGAGUAGAGGGAUGGCCUGGCCAGCGGUGGGAGUAGUAGGGGGCGGUGAGGCCUUCGCCGCAUCGCAGCCGGCCACGGGAGGCAGGAGCACGAGGCACGACCGGCGCUGGUUUGGUCGGCUGGAGCAAGAAGACCAGAGGUUGAAGAAGCACUACGGCCAUUGGAUGGACAUCGUACCGUCACUGGAGCUAGAAUCGUGCAUAUUGACUAAGUUGACAAAGCCCUCCGUCCCCGUCAACUUAGUAGGCCCACAAGUCAGCCUCCCACCAAGGUGGGUCCCAGCUAGCAGGGGGUAUUCAUUUUUUUGAGUGUAAUAAGGAGGUACUUCCUUGCGUGCGAAGAUAUAGCUGGUGGGUCCAAGCUGUCAGCGGCGGUAACGUUUUUUUCGCGAAAUAUAGAGGCCCUUUUGGUGGGUCCCUGAAGUCAGGGGAGGAAUCAUUAUUUUGCGCGUAAUAAGGAGGCAUUUCCUUGCGUGCGGCCGUGGACCCAGCUGUCGGCCUCUCCACGUAAAGUCCACUUCAGAUGCAUGUCGGUCGUUGACCACGUUGACCAGGCCGCGUGGAGAGCACCAGGGCGGUGGACGACGGCGAGGCCUAGGAAAGGGACGACACGGAUGCAGGGAAGACUUGGCAGUUGUUUCCCACACGGAGGGGAGUACGACUGUUCGAGGGUUUACUGGUUCGUCUGCCGUCGCCGGAGAAUAACAGCAGGUGUGGGUGAGUAGAGGGAUGGCUAGGCCAGCGAUGGGAGUACGGUCAGGCGGUGAGGCCUGCGCGGCAGCACAGCCGGCCGUGCGGAGGAGGGAGCAGGUAGUCCCGCCGGUGCUUGUUUGAGCGGCUGGAGCAGGAAGAGCAGAGAUUGAAGAAGCAUGACGGCCGUUGGAUGGACAUCCAACAAUCAGUGCUUGUGCGUCAACCUUUUUUUAGGAAAGCCUCAAAUCUGUGGAAACUGUUAAAAAAUUAUACGAAAUUUUGCAUAUUUCGAUGCGGUCCGAACUGUUUUUAAUCCCGAAAUUUCGACUCACAUUCAAACUGAUUUUAAAAAUAAACGUAUAUCAAUAUAAAAUCCAACAAAUUCUCCACGCAUAAAAAUUAAUGUAAUUUAAAAUGAAAUGAAAAAAAGAUAUUUGAAACUAAUUAGCGGUUUCAUGUGUUUUAAAAAUGUACAACCCAUUUCUCAUUACUAAUGGGCCAUUUUCUCGGCCAACCGAAUGAAAGCUCUCCCCGUCUUGAAAGAAUUGUAGCCCAACAGGCCUGACAAAGCGACUUACUUGGAAAAUCACAAAAAAACUGGGCUAUGGUCGUGGACCCAGCUGUCAGCCUCUCCACGUACAGUACUCUUUUGAUGGAAGUCGUUCCUUGACCACAUUGACCAUGCCGCGCGGAGAGCACCACGGCGGUGGACGAUGGCGAGGCCUAGGAAGGGGACGACGCGGCAGUGGAAGCCCGCAUGGAGAGGACUACGAGGGUUCACUGGUUUGGCUACGGUGUGAGGCUGCCGUCGGCGCAGGGCCUGGCCAGCAGUGGGAAUAGUAGGGGCGGCGAGGCCUCUGCGGUAGAUUCGUAAGAAUUUUUUUGGAGCCCAUUGAGGGAGUCCUGUAUUAGGGGGUGUCCGGAUGGCCGGACUAUACCUUCAGCCGGACUCCUGGACUAUGAAGAUACAAGAUUGAAGACAUCGUCCCGUGUCCGGAAGGGACUUUCCUUGGCGUGGAAGGCAAGCUUGGCGAUACGGAUAUACAGAUCUCCUACCGUUGUAACCGACUUUAUGUAACCCUAACCCUCUCUGGUGUCUAUAUAAACCAGAGGGUUUUAGUCCGUAGGACAACAUAGACAACAACAAUCAUACCAUAGGCUAGCUUCUAGGGUUUAGCCUCUCCGAUCUCGUGGUAGAUCAACUCUUGUACUACCCAUAUCAUCAAUAUUAAUCAAGCAGGACGUAGGGUUUUACCUCCAUCGAGAGGGCCCGAACCUGGGUAAAACUUCGUGUCCCUUGCCUCCUGUUACCAUCCGGCCUAGACACACAGUUCGGGACCCCCUACCCGAGAUCCGCCGGUUUUGACACCGACAUUGGUGCUUUCAUUGAGAGUUCCUCUAUGUCGUCGCCGUCAGGCUCGAUGGCUCCUACGAUCAUCAAUAGUGAUGCAGUCCAGGGUGAGGCUUUCCUCCCCGGACAGAUCUUCGUCUUUGGUGGCUUCGCAUUGCGGGCUAAUUCACUUGGCCGUCUGGAGCAGAUCGAAAGCUACGCCACUGGCCGUCAGGUCAGAUUUGGAAAUUUAAACUACACGGCUGACAUCCGCGGGGACUUGAUCUUCAACGGAUUUGAGCCACUGCCGAGCGCGCCACACUGUCCCGACGACCAUGAUCUAGCUCUGCCGCCGAAUAGUGCCCUGGAGGCCGCACCCGCAUCAGCUUCGACCCUUAAGUCGGAGCCAAUUGCACCAAUCAAGGAUGGGCAGUUGGACGCCACCUCGAGGGCUGCGAUCCCAACGGCGAUUGAGCCGAACACCAGCCCCAUACUCCGCAAAUUCGUGACUCCAAGGAGCCGGACUCCUCUCCGGACUCCGAACCCUCCGCGCCCCUGCCGAUCGAAUCCGAUUGGGCGCCGAUCAUGGAGUUUACUGCCGCGGACAUCUUUCAGCACUCGCCUUUCGGCGAUAUACCGAAGACACUGAAGUCUCUCUCUUUAUCAGGAGAGCCCUGGCCGGACUACGGUCAGCAAGGUUGGGAUUCAGACGAUGAAAAAUUCAAAGCCCACCCACCAUCCACUUUGUAGCAACUGUCGACGAUUUAACCGACAUGCUCGACUUCGACUCCGAAGACAUCGACGGUAUGGACGCCGAUGAAGGAGAUGAUGAAGAACCAGUGCCUACUAGGCCCUGGAAAGCCACCUCGUCGUAUGACAUAUACAUGGCGGACACCCCAAAAGAAGGAGAUGGCGACGGAACAGCGGAGGAUGACCCCUCCAAAAAACAGCCUAAGCAUCGGCGUCAGCAGCGCCGCUCAAAAUCCCGCCAAAACAAAUGCGGCGAUUCCAGCACGGGAGAUAAUAACACUCCGGAAAGCGCCAAAGAAAACCCCCUCCAGCAUGAUUUAGCACACGAGGAUGGAGAAACCAGCCCUCAUGAGAAGGUGGCUGACACAGAGGUCGAGGACGAUAAUUAUAUGCCUCCCUUCGAAGACGAGGCAAGCCUCGACGACGACGAAUUCGUCGUGCCAGAGGAUCCCGUCGAGCAAGAGCGUUUUCAACGCAGGCUUAUGGCCACGGCAAGAAGCCUCAAGAAAAAGCAGCAACAGCUUAGAGCUGAUCAAGAUUUGCUAGUCGACAGAUGGACUGAAGUCCUUGCGGCUGAAGAUCAUAAACUCGAACGCCCCUCCAAGAGCUACGCAAAGCGCAGGUUGCUGCCCCGAUUAGAGGAGGAAGCACUUGAUGCGGCCGACCGACCACCUCGUGGCCGGGACAGAGAGGCCUCUCGGCCCUCCACUCAAGCCGCACCCCGUACCAAGGCACGGGAAUAUGCGUCGGACUUGCGAAAUAUGUUGGAGGACAAGGCAAGGCAAACAAGAUCGAUCUACGGAUCGUGCAGGCGCCCCACGGCUCGAGACGAUAACCGUCACGCCGGCCACAAAUUCGGCAGGGCCGAACACAGCAGACAAAGCUCAUUGGAGCUACGUAGUGAUAUAGCCCAGUACAGAGGCGCCGCACACCCACUAUGCUUCACAGACGAAAUAAUGGAUCAUAAAAUCCCUGAGGGUUUCAAACCCGUAAACAUCGAAUCAUAUGAUGGCACAACAGAUCCUGCGGUAUGGAUCGAGGAUUAUCUCCUUCAUAUCCACAUGGCCCGCGGUGAUGAUUCGCACGCCAUCAAAUACCUCCCACUCAAGCUUAAAGGACCAGCUCGGCAUUGGCUUAACAGCUUUCCAACAGGAUCAAUCAGUUGUUGGGAGGACCUGGAAGUCGCAUUCCUCGACAAUUUCUAGAGCACUUAUGUGCGACCCCCAGACACCGAUGACCAAAGUCACGUAAUUCAGCAGCCAGAGGAAUCGGCCAGGCAAUUCUGGACACGGUUCCUAACAAAGAAAAAUCAAAUAGUCGACUGUCCGGACGCGGAGGCCCUAGCAGCCUUCAAGCACAAUAUCCGUGACGAGUGGCUGGCCCGGCACCUUGGACUGGAAAAGUUGAAAUCUAUGGCAGCACUCACGACACUCAUGACCCGCUUUUGCACGGGAGAAGACAGCUAGCUCGCUCGUAGCAACAAUAUGACCAAGAACCCUGGUAAUUCGGAUGCCAGAGACAGUAGCGGCAGGUCGCGUCGUAACAAGCAGAAGCGCCGCAUUAACGGUGACAAUGCUGAGGAUACGGCAGUUAAUGCCGGAUUCAGAGGCUCUAAAUCCGGUCAACGGGAAAAGCCAUUCAAAAGGAAUCCUAGGGGCCCGUCCAGUUUGGACCGAAUACUCGAUCUCUUGUGCCAAAUACAUGGCACCCCCGAAAAGCCGGCCAAUCACACCAACAGGGUUUGUUGGGUGUUCAAGCAGGCAGGCAAGUUAAAUGCCGAAAAUGAAGAUAAGGGGCUGCAUAGCGACGACGACGAGGAGCCCCAGCCGCCGAACAAAAGUGGACAGAAGGGUUUUCCCCCAUAAGUGCGAACGGUGAACAUGAUAUACGCAACCCACGUCCCCAAAAGGGAGCGGAAGCGCGCUUUAAGGGACGUAUACGCGGUAGAGCCAGUCGCCCCAAAGUUCAACCCAUGGUCCUCCUGCCCGAUCACUUUUGAUCGAAGGGACCAUCCCACUAGCAUCCGUCAUGGCGGAUUCGCCGCAUUGGUUCUAGACCCAAUUAUUGACGGAUUUCAUCUCACUAGAGUCCUUAUGGACGGCGGCAGCAGUCUGAACCUGCUUUACCAUGAUACAGUGUGGAAAAUGGGCAUAGAUCCCUCGAGGAUUAAGCCCACCAAAACGACCUUUAAAGGCGUAAUACCAGGUGUAGAGGCCAACUGUACAGGCUCAGUCACACUUGAAGUGGUCUUCGGAUCUCCGGAUAAUUUCCGAAGCGAGCAGUUAAUCUUCGACAUAGUCCCGUUCCGCAGUGGUUAUCACGCACUGCUCGGGCGAACCGCAUUCGCCAAGUUCAAUGCGGUACCGCACUACGCAUACCUUAAGCUCAAGAUGCCAGGCCCUCGAGGAAUAAUUACGGUCAAUGGAAACACCGAACGCUCCCUCCGAACGGAGGAGCACACGGCGGCCCUUGCAGCGGAAGUACGAAGCAGCCUCUCCAGGCAGUUCUCCAGUCCGGCCAUUAAACGACCGAACACCGUCAAGCGCACCCGGAGUAACCUACAACAAGACCACUGGCACGUUCCGAGCAGGCGUAGCAAUGCGGCCCCAACCCCAACCUCGCAAGAAGGCGAGAUCAGUGCUUCGCGUACAUAACUAUGCCCCCAAAAAUACCAUGGGUAUAGAGGGAGGGGCACCAUCACGGCACGGCCGAAACGCGGCUUAAACCGUACCAGGGGCUGCCAAUUUUUUUAAUUUUCUCUUACUUUCAGGACUCCACCCUUCGGAAGGCCUGUUCGGCAGUUCAAUUGCCGCACAAACGAUGCACGAACCAGGGAGGCAGACAAGCCACGCCGCAUUACGGAACUCACAGGUGGUCUCUAUCACGAGUAGUAUACCUGUUUCGCAUACUAUUCCGCAGCUUGCCCCUGGAGCAGACAUGUUAAAUAGUCCAACUUUUUUUUAUCGCAUUACUUGUAUCGUUCUGCUUUGAUCGCAGCUAUUUUUAAUAAACAAUGCAUAGCUUUUGUCUAUUUUUGCAUUACCUUUUCAUAAAUAUAUGUUCCUUAACGACAUGUUGCACCCGUACAAUUUGGUACGGCCAAAAUACGCCAGGGGCUUUAGUGCCCCUCAAUAUGGUGUGAGAAGUCCGAACACUUUCACAAGUGCGACACCCCGAACUUAUAGCAUUAUAUGCAUCGGCUCCGAAUCUUGUCUUGGGUCAAUAGUUGGGUUUGCCCGGCUCCUAUGUUUUGGCGCCUUACGUUCCGCUAUAUCGGCUAAGGUAGCACUAGGAGAACCACUGCGAUUGUGCCCCAGUUGAGCUGGGCUGAGCACCUCAGUGGAGAAAACUAAAACUGACUGUCAUGAUAAAGCGAGAGCUGGUCGCUGUCCGAGAGGUUUUUUCGAGUCCCUAAAGAUUUAUGCCGCUUAGGGCGAGGAGUCGGCUCUGUCCGGCCAAGGCGUGGAUAGCGCCCCGAACUCGGUCUUCCGAAUACUAGGGGCUUCGCUGAAAUUUAAAAUUAUAGAAUUACAUGGCUAAGUGACAGUGUUCACGCAUUAUAGUCCGAUUGUCUUGUUCGUUGGGCUGAGCGCCUCCCUCGAAGGACCCAAACAUGGGAAAAAGAGCGCUCAGGUUUAUCCCCGAACACCCCAGCACUAGCGGCAUGGGGGCAGAAGCCGAUGACUCGCCAUCUCUCAGAAUUGAUAAACAGCCGCACAGAAGGUAAUAUUUUAAAUUCCAACAGCAUUGCUCAGCGCAUAUGAACAAGUUUUCAGUGCACAGGACAAAAACGAGCGAGUUUUACUCAAAAAUUACAUCCCUAGAACAUUCAUCCGCCACAAGGCGGGCACCCUUCAGAACAUCCUUAUAAUAAUUUUCGGGCUUGCGAUGCUCUUUCCCCGGUGGUGGCCCGUCCUUCACAAGCUUCUCAGCAUCCAGCUUGCCCCAGUGCACCUUAGCACGGGCAAGGGCCCUACGAGCACCUUCAAUGCAGACGGAGCGCUUGAUGACUUCGAGCCUUGGACAGGCCUCCACCAGCCGCCGCACCAGCCCGAAAUAGCUCCCAGGCAGAGCCAUUCCAGGCCAUAGCCGAGCUAGGAGGCCCUUCAUGGCCUGUUCGGCUGCCUUGUGGAGCUCGACAAGUUGCUUCAGCUGGUCGCUCAGGGGUAGGGGGUGUCCGGCCUUAGCAUACUGAGACCAGAACACCUUCUCUGUCGAGCUGCCCUCCUCGGCUCGAUAGAAUGCGGUGGCAUCGGAUACACUCCGGGGAAGAUCUGUGAACGCUCCUGGAGAGCUUCGGAUUCGGGUAAGUAACAAGGAACUCACGUUUAUGUGUUUGCUUUGCAUAAAGAAUGCCUUACCUGCUGCUAUCUUUUUCACCUCAUCCAACUCCUGGAGGGUCUUCUGGGAUUCGGUCUUGGCAGACUUGGCAUUUUCAAUAGCCGCCGCGAGCUCGGACGCUCGCGUCUUCGAGUCAAGCUCCAAACUCUCAUAUUUCUUCAUGAGAACCUGGAGCUCUUCCCGCACUUUGCCAACCUCGGCCUCAAACUUCUCCCGCUCAAUGUGCUCUGCGGCCGUACUCUUCUCAGCCUCGAGCAGCGCUUGCUUAAGGGUCGCCACCUCAGACGUGGCCCCUACAAUAGCCAUGUUAAUCCUGUCAUUUUUUGCAAUUGCACCUUUUUUAUACAUAUUCAAACAAGGUAUUUCGUACCUUCCUUCUCCACGAGCUGCUUCUUGGAACGCCCGAGGUCUUGCUUGAACUUCUCGAGGCUCUGCUUCAGCGUGUCAACUUCCACAGCCAGUGCGGCGGAUGCCAGCAGAGAAGCCUGUAUACGCAUAUUGACUCCUUUUAUUAGACUCCUGCGAAUUCUUUGAUCCUCUAUUCGGCUUUUCUUCCAGAACGUCCAACAGAGCAUCAGGGGCUACUAUCUAUGCGGUAAUAUUAUUUACACAUUCUUUACUAACCUCAAAGCCUGUUAAAAGGCUAGUGCAAGCUUCAGUCAGUCUGCUCUUGGCGGACUGAACCUUCUGGACCACCGCACUCAUAAUAGUGCGGUGCCCCUCGUCGAUGGAGGCGCCUUCGAGCACCUCCAGCAGAUUGUCCGGUGCCCCCGGUUGGACAGGGGUCACCGGCACGGUGGGCUUGCUCCUCUUUGAAGGAGGUCGCCCGCCGGACUCUGGAACCUUUGAAGGUUCCGGAGCGGUGUCCGGCCCUGAGCCGGACUUGGAGCUCUGGGGGGUUUCAUCCCCUUUACUCCUGGAGUCCGGGAGGUCGCCUUGCAGCGCCUCCCGGACCACCUCCUCCCGGCUGGGAACCUGCUGGGACAACACUUUGGUGUCGUCCGUAGGGCAGGGGAGGAAUCCGUCAGAAGUGAGUUCACGUCCGACGAGUCCAGUGAGCAGCUCGACGACGUGUCGAGCUGGUCCUUGGGUGGGCUGCAUAAACAUAUUCGACAUAAGGGAAAGCUGUGCAAAAAACAAAUACUAUGAAUUACUCCGGCAUCCGGAUACUUACGAUCUCACCAGGGGCUUGGCCCUGGGCUCCCACUCCUCUCCGCCGCUGUCAGCGUCGGGGGAGUAGUCUGGAGGAAGGGUUUUCCCCUUCUUGGAUCCUCCGGUCUCCCUAGAGAGGGCGGCCUUCCUUUUCUUCUCUCCUCCCACUGGAGGGGGAGAGGUUUCUUCCUCUUACUCCUCGUCUUCACGGGAGGAAUGCGCCUCGGAACCGCCGGAUGAUGAAUCCGACACCUCCUGGCGCCGGGCACUCUUUCGAGUCCCCGUGGCCCUUUUCGCGGCCUUCUUCUCCGGCACCACAUAGGGUGCCGGAGCCAGCAGCUUUGCCAAGCGAGCGUCCGCUGGGCCUUCGGGCAAGGGAGCCGGACAGUUGAUCUGUCCGGACGUCACCUGCCAAUCCUGUCAAAGGUAAGGGAGCUUAGAUCCCGCAUGGAGUCAAACUAUGAAAAACUAAUACCCUGUAAAAGUAAAUAAACAGCUUACCGCAUGAGCUGAUGCUGUGUACUGAAUCCGCGAUCCUCGGUAGCGGAUACGGGGUCCUUGGCGCCCUUGAAAAGCACCCUCCAGGCAUCCUCGUACGUCGUGUCGAAGAGCCUGUUCAGAGUUUGGUGUCGCACCGGAUCGAACUCUCACAGGUUGAAAGCCCGUAGUUGACACGGGAGGAUCAGGCGGAUGAGCAUAACCUGGACUACGUUGACAAGUUUGAGCUUCUUGUCCACCAGGGUUUGGAUGCAUGUUUGGAGUCCGGUCAGCUCUCCUUUCUUACCCCACGAUAGGCUCGUCUCCUUCCAGGAGGUGAGCCGCGUAGGGGGUCCGGAUCGAAACUCGGGGGGUGCGACCCAUUCAGGGUCACGUGGCUCGGUGAUGUAAAACCACCCCGCUUGCCGCCCCUUCAGGGUCUUCACAAACGAGCCCUCGAGCCAUAAGACGUUAGCCAUCUUGCCAACCAUAGCGCCUCCGCACUCCGCCUGGUUGCCGCGCACCACCUUCGGCUUGACGCUGAAAGUCUUGAGCCAUAGGCCGAAAUGGGGGCGGAUGCGAAGGAAGGCCUCGCACACGACGAUGAACGCCGAGAUGUUGAGGACGAAGUUCAGGGCCAGAUCGUGGAAACAAAGGCCGUAGUAGAACAUGAGCCCCCGGACAAAUGGGUAGAGAGGGAAGCCCAGUCCGCGGAGGAAAUGGGGAGGAACACCACCCUCUCAUGGGACCUAGGGGUGGGGAUGAGCUGCCCCUUUUCGGGAAGCCGGUGCGCGAUGUCGUUUGACAGGUAUCCGGCCUUCCUUAGCUUUUUGAUAUGUCCCUCCGUGACGGAGGAGACCAUCCACUUGCCUCCUGCUCCGGACAUGGCUGGAGAAGAUUGAGGUUUGAGUGCGGACUUGGGCGCUGGAGCUCGAGUGCACGAGAAUGGAUAGGCAAAGGAGGAAGAAGGCGUAGGUGAAAAGGUGGAUCCUUAUCCCCUUAUAUGGGUGGACGCAACUACAUGUCCCCACCAGCCUGGUAAAACUCGCCUAUGUCCAAGCACCGUAAUCAAUGGCGCAGUUGGGUUACUCACGCCCGUAUUGAUGAGAAUCCCGAAAUAAGGGGACACGAUCUCUGCUUUGACAAGACGUGCCAAGGAAACCGCCUCGCAUGACGCGCUGAGGUGGGAUAAUGAAAUGACUCAGACGAAGGCUUGGCCGUGGUAUGUGACGCUACAGAAUACGUCAACAGAUUAGAUUUGUGUAAAUAUUAUUCUCUCUAUGGCAAUAUGUGGAAACUUAUUUUGCAGAGCCGGACACUAUCUUUGUGUUCAAAAACUUCUAUGAAGUACUUGGAGGAGGAACCCGCCUUGCAAUGCCGAAUACAAUCUGCGCGUCGGACUCGUCGUCAUUGAAGCCUGGUUCAGGGGCUACUGAGGGAGUCCUGGAUUAGGGGGUGUCCGGAUGGCCGGACUAUACCUUCAGUCGGACUCCUAGACUAUGAAGAUACAAGAUUGAAGACUUCGUCCCGUGUCCGGAAGGGACUUUCCUUGGCGUGGAAGGCAAGCUUGGCGAUACGGAUAUACAGAUCUCCUGCCAUUGUAACCGACUUUGUGUAACUCUAACCCUCUCCGGUGUCUAUAUAAACCGGAGGGUUUUAUUCCGUAGGACAACAUAGACAACGACAAUCAUACCAUAGGCUAGCUUCUAGGGUUUAGCCUCUCCGAUCUCGUGGUAGAUCAACUCUUGUACUACCCAUAUCAUCAAUAUUAAUCAAGCAGGACGUAGGGUUUUACCUCCAUCGAGAGGGCCUGAACCUGGGUAAAACUUCAUGUCCCUUGCCUCCUGUUACCAUCCGGCCUAGAAGCACAGUUCGGGACCCCCUACCCGAGAUCCGCCGGUUUUGACACCGACACCCAUCUUCUUUUUGUUAGCAUCACACCCCAUAUUGUGGCCACGGUUAAAAAGUAUACGAAAUUUUGCAUAUUUCCGUGCGGUCAACUAUUUUUAAUCCAGAAAUAUCGAUUCACAUUCAAACUAUUUUGAAAAAAAAUUAUAUAAAUAUAAAAUCCAAAUAAUUGUCCACGCAUAAAAAUCAAUGGAAUUUAAGAUCUUGUAAUGAAAAAAAAUGAAACUAAUUCCCGGUUUGAUGUGUUUUAAAAAUGUACAGCCCAUUUCUAGGCAAACCGAAUGAAACUCUCCUCGUCUUGAAAGAUUUGCAGCCCAGCAGGCCCAAUAAAGCAAGUAGGCCUUGUUUGGGUAUUUCUUUUAAAAAAUAGAACUGGGCUAGCCAUUUUCAGCAAGAAAAAAACACAACUGGGCUCAUGAUGUGGUAAAUGUAAAUAAAACCCUGGCUAGACGGGCCACAGCCCCACACAGCCCCGUUGUUACCCUGAUCCGUCGCUAAAACUAGUAUAAAUAACAACCGCUUGUUCCUCAAAAAAAUGCGCGACUUGUUGGGUCCCUAGUGUCAGCCGCUCGUAGUGUAAUUAUCUCGUUUAUUAACUACGUUGACAAUGGCGUGAGCCCCAGAUGUCCAACCAAUUAGGAGGAACCAUAUUUUUGGGCUUGUACUAUAGAGGCACUUGCUUGCGUACUGCCAUGACGCUGGUGGAUCCCUACUGUCAUCCUCUCCACGUACAGUCAUCUCCUUGUUCCUCUCGGUUGUUGACAACGUAAGAGGGCGGCGCACCGCGCACGGCGAGCGAACCAAGGCCGCAAGUUUGUGGGUGCUGGUGGGGGCUAAUCACUUGGCUUCUGUAAUGCACAGUGAGCUCAAGCAGCAGGCGAGAGCUAUGUUAUUUCCCUUGGUUUGGAUUUGUUACAAUAUUUCACUCUAAAUGAAACGAAUGGCAAGCCAUUUGCCUUGUUUCAAAGAAAAUAUGACAGUCACAGUCGAGUUGAAAAGGGCAGGAACAUCUAACUCCAGCUUACAAACUGUACAAAAGCACGAGGGUUAAUUGUUCAUCAGGUUUACAAAAAACCAGAUUGAAAAGGGCAACAACAUCUAACUCCAGCACUAUUUUCGGCAGUCACAGUCAAAUGGAUCGGUCAGGUCCAUAGAAUGAACAUCCUGGGUCAUAAAAUUUACUGGAUUAUGACCACAAUAUGUUGUAAAUAGAAGCCCGGCACAUUCAAAAGCUCUUUUGCCCACCUGAAACUCCUUUUUUUGCUCUUCGACAUACCCAUCCGUAAAAACCAUGUUGCUGAUAAACUUAAGCCUGAUGGACAAUAGUAACCUCGCAUUCAGCAGGAAGAAUGUGACAAAUCUUGUGUUUGCACGGUUGGCUACAUAUCGUUCUAGCAUUAUUGUCUUCAAUCGAAUCUCAUGAGAAGUGAGAAAAUCCCGAUGCUUAUGAAUCCACCGAUUGGUUAUAACUUUCUUACCCCGUCCUGUUGCCUAAAUAGACAUGAAGAUUGAAAACAGUUAAGGUCUAAAAGAAGAGUGUUGAAAGAGCAACAGCUGAACGGUUAAUUCUAGUACACUAUAUGCGGGCUUCCAAUGUGCGUGAAAUUAUCACCUUUAUAUAAAACUUCUCCAGACAUGGAAAGCAUUGCAGCAAGCCUAUAAUCUUGUUCAGAUCAAAACUAUUCAUUUGGAUAUAUAAGAUCUUAACAGAAUCCAACACCAUUGAUAGGCCAUCCAUGGAGAAACUCUUCAUUGAGCAUAGAACAUAAUAUUAGUACAAAAUGUGUACUCCAAGAUGAUAUAUAAAUUAUGCGUAGAAAUUUAAAAUGCAGCUUAUGGUUACAACUGUAGAUGAUAAUAUAAAGUACCUGAAGAACUGUGGAGCCAAACACCAUAUUGAAAUGAGCACAGAGAUCAUGUAUUACACCCAAGGUCUCUAGUUUAGGCGCAGAGAGGACAGUUAUUUGCAACGGUGAAUAACUAUAAUCAAGGAUCAACCUUUGAAGUGAAGGGGCAUCUUGGAUGAUGAGCUGCCUUCCGUCAAAAGAAAUUCCAAUUCUUACAAGGUUAGGUGACUCUAUUUGGCAACCGAUUCUAACUAUGAAAACAAGCACCAAGCACUCCAGCGCAGGGCAACUGGAGUGGAUGAUGUUGCGCAAUGAGGCCUCCGAUAUACGAACCCGCACAAGUGAAAGUUUCUUGAGAAAUGGGAGUCAAAGGUUUAGUACUAGAUUGUCUGGUAGGUAGCACUGCGCAAAGGUGGUGGUGAGGAGAGAGGACGAAAACCCCGAGAUGGACAUCGGUGCUGAGGGCACAAGUUCAUGGCGUUCGGUAUGUGGUAUGUGAUUUCCUGGGGAAUAGUAGAACUCAAGCAUCUAUAGUUCUGUGAAUUCAGGGGAUUCCAGCCAGGCGUCCACCGUGCAGGGCAUGGUAUGCUUGCUCAGGUAGCAUGACGGGAUGUAGAGGCUUUGAACGGAGCCCUGGUGGGAGGAGAUGAUGGCUCUGGGGAUUUCAAAAUCAUUGAAGAGAGAUAGCUGACGAUAGUCGAGAUUAAGGGGAACGACGCGCCAUAGAGGGCGCCAUCAAAUUGAGAGGACUUGGGUGCGGCAGCAAUCCUUGGUGGGGAGAAGCGAGAUGAUCUCCCCAAGGAUGGCGUCCGGGAGAUCGCUGAUGCGGUCCACCCAAGAUUCUACGGGUUCCUGGGAUCCGGUGGGGGCGGGGUCGCCGCUUCUCCCCGCGCUGCCGGGUGCAGGAUCUACAACAGGCGUCACUGCUGGCGGGAGCCUCAUCUUCUUGGCGCUGGGGUCAGCCGACUCCAUUUUCUUCGAGGGCGUCGCGUCGUGCUCACGGAUUUGAGCAGAGUAACGAAUGACGAGCCAAGUUGUAGUGCGAGCGAAGAAUAAGGGGAGCUGGGGGUUUUCUGUAGGAGUGAGGAAGAAGGGGAGCUGGGGUUUUCUGUAGGAGUGAGGUGAGGAAUUUGGGGGUACGAGUGGAGCGAGCUGACGUGAGGUGGGUGGGAGCGAGGAGGAAGAAGAGCACCCAGGUUUUUGAAUUGAUUUUACUAUUUACUAGUGUGGAUGGGCUGUUUUGUCUUGGGACCCGAGAAACAAUUACUACUAGUACAGUGGAGACACUUUACAGCUACCCAGAAAAACAAUUACUACUAGUACAGUGGAGACACUCUACCGCUUCUGACUCCUCCUAGGUCAUUGAAACGUCUCCCUCUACUAAAUGCCGUUAUACUUUUGUUCACUGACAUGCGGGCCAUGCAGCACGUGGGCCCAAAUUCCAUCCACCAAAUUAGAAGGCAGUAUGCAGGCGGAGAGUCACCCCGGUCGUAGCACGGCAGUAACGAGCCAUCGUAUCACAAAACCCCACCUCCCUGCAGUCUAAGUUUGACGGACGAAGCAACCAUCAUUUCACUCUUCGAUGAAUCCCCUUCUCCCUCACUGUCUUCAAGAAAGGCAACACUUGCAUCUGCCACUGUUCUUCUCUCCGAAUGAAGGGAAGGUAAGUGGAUCCGUGAUGUUGGUAUAAUUUUGUUCAGAGGGAAAAAAAGAACUUUUGCAAAGCAGUAACCGAUCCUCACUCACUUUUUUGUUUCACUGUCAUUGCGAUUGUGUUUUCCUUUCAGUGGACUCCUAGUAUUCGUCAGUUUCAUGAUGGACCAAGGAGAACCAGGCAAAGAUCUGCCGAUAUUGGAGCAGACGCGGGAGGCUAAUCCCCACGAGACAGAGAGCUCCAAGAAGAUGGAGGUAACCACCAAGGCGACCCCAGAUACUGAGAUGGUCAACUCCCCGUUUGAUGUUACAGCCCCCGUGGCACUGCAGGAGCAGUUUUCUCCCUUCGAGGAUGUGUNNNNNNNNNNNNNNNNNNNNNNNNNNNNNNNNNNNNNNNNNNNNNNNNNNNNNNNNNNNNNNNNNNNNNNNNNNNNNNNNNNNNNNNNNNNNNNNNNNNNNNNNNNNNNNNNNNNNNNNNNNNNNNNNNNNNNNNNNNNNNNNNNNNNNNNNNNNNNNNNNNNNNNNNNNNNNNNNNNNNNNNNNNNNNNNNNNNNNNNNNNNNNNNNNNNNNNNNNNNNNNNNNNNNNNNNNNNNNNNNNNNNNNNNNNNNNNNNNNNNNNNNNNNNNNNNNNNNNNNNNNNNNNNNNNNNNNNNNNNNNNNNNNNNNNNNNNNNNNNNNNNNNNUGAGCUGUCCAAGGUGAUUUCCUUCUUUGCCGAUCUCGAUUGUGGUUUUUCAUCUAAGUAUGUGGUGAUUUUUUUUAGAAAAGGAAGUAUGUGGUGAUUAAUAAUGCACAAUUUUAUUAGCUUCGAUGCCAUGGUAUACGUAGUGGUUUAAAUAACUUGUGUUUCUUAUAGUGAAAACUAAUUUAGAAUUUGUUUCUGUUUCAAUUAGAGCCCUGAUGCAGACAAGGAUUGUGUGGUUGUACAUGUCACUCGCUAUGAGGUGGACGACCUAAAUAUACGCACUGGGAAAACAGAGUUCUUAGGCUGCUGGAUCCUGGAAGCCAUUUGUGGUUAUACCAAUGAAGAGUUGUAUUCCAACCUCACUGUUGUCAGGCAUGUUGUCCAGGGUGUACUGAAGCACAAGAAGUUCAAAGCUACUCCUUCGUUUGUGAGGAAUAUAGUUCUUGUCAAGCUUACGCAGGAAGAUGACGUGGCAUGCCUCCACAAACAAGUUUAUCAGUGGCAAGGCCACAAGGUUGUCUUCAUGAAGGUUCACAUGAUUGAGCUGCUGCGGGACGUCCUCGAUGAUGUUCAUGGCAAGGUCCGUCUUGUGUCCUGCCCAAAUUAGAUCAAGGCAUGAAAUAGUUGCCCCAUCUAGUGUUUAAUAGUAGUUUGGAUUGUGUCUAAUUAUCCGAACCUUACCUGUUAUCGACCCCUCGAGGGCUAGUACUCUAUUUGAAUCCCUCUAUGGGAACUGCUGCUACUUUUGUGUGCCCGUGAAUCAUGUGAGAACCAUCGUAAUUGUUGCCGAAAGAGAUGCAUACUCACUAGUUUUUUCAUGAAUAUGGCAUGGUAAGACAUAAGUUGUCAUGGUUUAUCAUACGAGCAGUGUGUGUUGACGAAAUAGAGCACUCGUUCGAGAACCGUGCGCCGACGUAUACAUAAGUACUUGUAAACACUGUUGGUGCUACCACACUUGUAAGCAGUUGUGCAAAACACGGCACAUUGGCUCAGCUUGCUUCAACACUAGCCUAUUGACCAGCUAACAAUCAACAAUCUGUUGUUUGACAUAUAAGCAACUAUGUAUCUUGUUAUAGUGGUUCAUGCAGUUAAUUGAGGCCACAAUUGAAUAAAUUCCAAAUGUUCACACGCUAGUCCAAUGCUCAUGUGGAACACUCACAUUAAACUCGUCUUCAUAAAAAACUUGAAAAGCAUAAGUUAAGCAAUUUUAUACAUCUCAAUGAUUCAUAGAACAUAACAAACAUAUACUAGUUCACAGAAAAAGACAAAGUUGUGAGAAGGUUUACAAAUCAGGAAAAAACAAGCAAGGCUUCUCUCUGAGCAAAGGGCCUCCCGGCAGGCUUAAAUUUCCUGGAGUUCACUCUGGUUUUUUCUUGUUGCCACCAUACAGGGUUAGGUUCACUCAUUCCAGAAUAACCAAUUAUAAUUGUGGUAUCAGCUGGAAUGCUGAACUGAACCAUGUAGUGUACUGACCAGCUGAAAUGCUUGUGCAUUCCACUAAAUUUAAGCACCGCUAUUUGCAAAAAUAAGCAGACCACAAUGCCUCUUGUCCGCGCACCUGUCCAAAAAACCGCCGUGCAGCCGUGCCAGCUAGUCCUUGGUCCAUGGAUGAAUUGGUAGAAAGUGCAUUCCCGACUAGGAUGCAGUUGUUUUCACUCGUCCCUGCACUGCAAUCAGGAAGUAAAACGUACGAAUCAGCUUCUUUUAGAUUGCGUUGGUCUUUCUACCUUAGUUACUACCAAUGUAGGGAUACCUUGAAGACGGGAGGUUAGACGACGGUAGCGAUGGAUAGCCAUCUCAUUUUGCGCAGUUGUACUAAAACUGAGGUGUGUGCUUUUGAUUGCACGGAUAGAAACGAUACGGAGACAGACAUCCCGAAACGAUAUGGAGACAGACAUCCCCGUUUGCGCAAAUAAGAUAUACAGUUAUUUAAACAGUGACAGAUAUUACUACUUUCCCCCGUUUCCUCUUAGAACCAAGUCCUAGAUUCAUGCUACAGCUUUCCCACUUUCUUCCCUGUUUGAACCAACGCUUUGAGUCGACUGUAUGAAAUAGCUUUACUUCUAAUCUACUACUACUAUAAUGCGGUAGUUUUGAAAUUGGAUUUACCACUCCAUCUUCGGUUCUCCUACCCAAACAAGCAUUGGCUCAAAAUCCACCGUUCAUUUCCCCUCUCAUGCAUAUCACUGCCGUCCAUCAAACAAAGGAUGAUAUGAUCUGACGGCUAAGAGCUGCCGGAUUCGCUCCCGCUCCUUGUGCACAUGGCCGACUCUGCUCUCCAAGUAAACAAAUAAAGAAGUCCCUGUUGAAUCUGGAUUGCACCUACUGAAGUUGAGAAAUGUCUAGAAACUGCUGCCACCUCCUCACAUGCAAGUACGACAAGUUAGCAAAUAGCUAGCACAUUUUGGUUCCCCGUUGUCACCUCGGAAAUAAACACUCUACUACUAACUAAUUUUUUUAGAUUACUGUAAAAAUGGAUUUUUUAGAUGCCGCUAUACUGCAAAUUUACACUGUUCACAUAACAUAACAUUGCAUGGCUGAUGCUAGCUAAAGUUUUAUUCUGCUUCAUCGAGAAAUUUAAUAUUUUUAUUAUUCGCAGAAAAAGUGUAAUAUUUUAUUUCAGUCAUACAUAAGCUAUACCUCAAGCUAAUAUAGGACAUGAGUGUCUGUCAGACCUAAAUGACUUAUUUAGUUGCACAAAAUAGUCCAUAAACAUGCAUGUAAACCGUCAAACAACUCUGGAACUAUACAUCAGUGGAACCCAGGAAACAGCAUAUAAUAAAACUACAACUUUUAUCUUGUAAUCAAAUUCUUAAUUGGAACUCAGUUUGAUUUGUGCAAGUGAUUUGCUUCUUAUUUCAGAAUAGUCCUUAAAUCAUGCAAACAAACACACUAUGAUAUCUACUCAAGAUACGACUACCCAUUUCUCUCUCUAAAAAGAAGGUAUAUGAGUAUCUAUCAUACAGAACAUACGUGCAAAGCAUGUGCCUUAGUAGAAGUCUAGGUGGCUUUGGAACAGCGGACGGAAGUAGAAAAGGAUCCACGCGAAGGGAGCUGAGGCAGUAGAGCAAGGCAGGUUUCGAAGGAAUAUAUACCUGAGGGUCAUCGGCAUGUCGCAAAGACGGCGUUGGGAGGCCGCAUCUUGGCCACAAUACCGUAGGGACGAAGAAGGGGUAAGAGGCCCUCCCGAGCCGGCACUCUCUUAGAGAGAAUGGCACGGCCACCUAUCGGGACACGCGGGCAGCCGUUGGUCUCCUCCCUUGCUGCCGACGACAGCGUGAACAAUGCACCUACACACCUGCCCCGGCCGAGGUUGUCCGGCCGGAUUUGUGACCAGCCGUGAGCUGAGAGAGAGUGUGGCCACCUAUGUGUUGCUUACAUCUGGAGAGCAUGAGAGAGUGAACGAGAGGAACCCUAGUAAAGCAAGCGCUAAGGCUCCUGCUUUUAUAUAUAGUGAAGUGAUUUUGUUGUACCAGCUUCAAAAAAAUGCGCUCGUACGUGUACCCGCGAGUGGGUGUGAGAGAACUAGUGUGUGCGUGCACUGCUUCUCUUCGUGAGAGUACAAUAUACUAUGCCCAAAGAACAUUUGCCACAAGAGUAAUAGUACAAGUGCGUGACGUGUGAGCUAAAAUAAAAUGUGCGCUCCGUCUUUUGUUUUUUAGAAGUUCUGAGGGUAGGGUGUGAAGAGCACAUAUGUGCGUGACGUCUACCUGCAGAUAGACGAUGGGUGCGACGUGCGAGUCUGCGAGAGGACUCAGGAGAGUCGUGACUCGUGAGGGUGCGUGUGCGUGAGAGAGAGGGGGGCACGUAUGAAUGCAAUGCAUGUGUCCGUAAAUCAUCAUCCGACAAACGUUCGCCACAAGCCUUUUCCUGACGAAUGCCAUAAGGACCGUUAGAUCGGCAUCCGACAGUGUCAGUUUUGCCAUGUCAUUUAACAGAAUAGCCACUCCUCCUACACACAAAUCUUCCACGUGAGUGUUAGCAACUGCCGUAUGCUCCCUCCAUUCCGAAAUGCAGUGCAUAUAGCUUUAUUGAAAAUUCGAACCUCGCAAACUUUUAUCGAGUUUUCUUGUACCAAAUUGCACAUGUAGAAUACCAUGUAUAUAUCAUUUCAUUCAUCUUCAAGAGGUAACUAUAAAGUUGGGUCAGGAGUCUAUAAAGAAAGGUCAUCGUAUCACCCGCAGCAAUUUCAAGCAUCCCUUAGUGUCGAGGAAUAUCAUAGGAACUCUAUAUGAUAUGAUUUUUAUAGGAUUUUUUCCUUUAGAGCCAAUUGGUUCAUAGGAAUAGAUUCAUAUACUCCACAUUUCAAAGGAAAUAAACAUGAUAUCAUUUCUAUAGCUUUAGAGCCACUUGGUUCAUAUGAAUGGAUUCCUAUACUCCCUUAAUUUCAAAGGAAAAUAAACAUUAGCGUAUAUUCAAUAGAAAAGUUCCUAUGUUAUGAACCAAAUUACAUCUCUUUUCUAAUCCCUCCUCAUAGGAAUUGAGAAACAUGUCAUCUCUAUAUUCAAUAGAAAAGUUCCUAUGAUGUGAACCAAAUGACAUCUUUUUUUCGAUCCCUACUCAUAGGAAUUGAGAUGCUCCAUGUCAUCUCUUUCCCUACAACUUCCAUGUAUACAUCUUCUAUUCCUAAAUAGAUAGUAAAACCCACUAGUAGCUUUUUUCCAAAACAUGCAACUAUGGCACAAGAACUAUAUAGUGUGCCAAUAGCUUUGAAAGAUGGUCACUGGAUGAAGCUAACCCGACAGUGUAGAGAUAGGCAAAUCCGAGCACUACUGGCCAUUGGAUAUUAUCAACAUUCCACUAGAUCUGCCACAUGUACAAUUUAGAAGACUCCAUGGUUGUACAAAGUUAGUGCGAAGUUGGGUCAUCUAUUUUGGAACGGAGGGAGUACAAUGCACAACCCCAUGAAUCUUAACAUUUUUAUAAAACUUAUUGAUUUUGAAUGAUAUGAACUAUGAGAACUAAGCGAACAUCUACAUCAUGCAUAUAUGACUCAAAGCUUUACAUCCUAUAGCGUGUAUUUAUUCAUAAUUUGGUUUCGAAAUCUCAUGCGUUCAAUACAUGUGUACCUUACUAGUAUUGAGUAGAGUAGCAAAUUUCACGCGGCCCCGGGUAUAUCAAAAUGCAGGGCCCAUGCAUCAUUGCCUUUCGGUCGAACCUACGUCCACAAUUUUUUGUACGUACUAUAUCUCCACUGGUCCCCGAACCCAAAAUCCUGCCUCGUUCCCGUAAAACAAAGCGGCCCACACAUAUUUAAGGCGUCGUCUCGAACCUGUUUACUACGACGUCCCGCAUGCCGUAGUACUCCUACAAACCCUACCGCCGCACUCAUCAUCGGUUUUCUUCAAGAGGACGAGGGAGAAGCCGAUUUGUAGUGGAGGCGCUUUCAAAAAAAAGGAUCUGUAGUGGAGACCCCUACCCUAGGGUGCCUGUAACAUCCCAAAUUUUCAAUUUGGAAUGUUAUACAUUAGAUCAUCAAUGCACAUCAAAUUUUAUUUUGCAUUUUGGUUGAUCCUAGAAAUUCUACGCAACUCAAUGACCCACGGAGAGAGUUGGGGAUUUCGUUAUUUUCAUAUUUGAGUUUUCUCAAAUUUUGAGAAUAGGGUCAUUUGAUUUUAUUUAUUUUAUCAUCAAUUAUUUCUAUUACAAAAAUAUGACAGAGUGAAUAAAAUGACUUUCCCAAAAUAAAGAAAUAUUGAGGAUUUAAUAAUAAAAUCAAAUAAGAUUUUAUUUCGGAGUUUUUCGGUGUUUUAUUUGAAUUUAGGAAAAAAAGUGCGUUUUUCAAAAUUGCAUUUAGGUCCCAAAUAAAUGUUCACCUUGUGCGGCUUGAUUUUAGAAGCCUGUGAAAAUUUAUUACGGAAUUUUUGGAGUCCGUUUAGUAUUUCUUUUUAUUUUUCUUCCGAGCGGAAUAAUUAAAAAAACGAACCGACUUCGGGCCGUACCCGAGCGGGACAUCGCCCGGGGGCAGCCUUUAAAUAGCUCCGCCCCGAGCCGCCCCAGCCCAUCAGCCCCGCCUCAAUCCGCGCGCGCCGCCGGAGCCGCCGCCGCCGCCGACGAUCCCGCCGCCCGAGGUUCGUCGCGCCUUUUUUUCCGUGCCAAAAAAAGAGAAAAAAUAAAUUCACUGUUCGUCGUUUUUCUUUUUCUCGGAUUAAAUCCGCGAUUUUUCUGAUCGCGAUUCCAGAUCCGAUUUUCAUUUUAGUAUAACUUUUCGAUCGUUUAGCGGAAUCAGGUGAUUCAAGCGCCUACAGAUUCGUCUCGAAACCCUCUACCCGUUUAACCAACUUAAACAGGAUUUUCCUACUGUAAAAUUUGCCCUAGAUCCAGAUUACUAGAAUGAAGUUGUUUUCUUUCGCUGUUUGACUUUCGUUGUUUCGUUCGAUUUGAUUCUUUUUGCAAACCGGAGUUCUUAAGUUGAACCUUCUGGUUAGAUCUUUUAUCUGAGUUUUACAUGUGCAUUAGAUGAGUACUUAUUGUAUGCUUGUUUGUUUUCCUGCGAUAGAAUACCCGGAGUGCGCCGCCUGUUACUUCGAAUCGUUAGGUUUCGCGGAUCAUCAGCAAGGCAAGUAACACUUUGAUCAUACCUUUCUACUACCCAGUUUUAUUGCAUUAGAUCAAUCCUCACACAUUGCAUGAUUAGGAUCUAAUUAAAUUGUGGGAUGGGAAGUAGAUGAGGUAGUACCUAUUACCUGUUUAUUUUCAAACCUUUGGGAGUUACUUCUAUGUUUGCUUAUUAUGCCAUGCUAUGCUAGUAGACGUGGAUUGGGUGAGUGAAAACCAUGACAGAUGUGAGAUUGUUAAUUAAUGGUUUAUCUAAGGUGGCAACUUAAACACACAUCUGGGUGGAUUGAGGCACCUGGGUAUUCCAGGACUUGCCUGUUUUCUUUUUGGACCGCCACCCAGGCUCAAAGGGAUCAUGAGACUAUUCAUAAUAGAAACUUCCGUGUGCAGCCACAAGCUAUUAUGGGCUCUAGCAUAGUUGACUAAGUUGUGCGAACUCUUACAGUGGUAGACUAGCAGAUGUAGGUGGUACGGUCUACCCGAUCGUAAGGUUCUAGCACUUCUGAAAGACUAUGUCUCGGUCAUCCGUCUUCUCAAACACCAUGUAGUGCGAGAAACCAAACGGAGGCGAUCGAGUCUUGUGGGGAAAAGUGCGCAAACCUCUGCAGAGUGUAAUAAACUAAUCAUGGUUAGCCGUGUCCCCGGUUAUGGACAUCUUGAGUAUCUAGUACUUGGAUUAUCAUGUGAAUGUCAACAUGUUACCCUAAAUUAAUUUUGUUGGGUUAUGUUUAAUGAUGAUGCUUAAUUGGGAUUGAGAAUGAUGUCAACCAUUCUCAAUGUUUAACAACCACCAUGGUAGUAAUUAAAUUUUAUUCCUUUUAAGUAGGGAAAAAUUGGCUUUACGCAAAACUGUAACCAUAGAGCUUUACACCAGCCAAAUAUGCAUAUAGUAUAGAUGUUACAUUCCAUUACUCUCUAUGUGUUACCUUGCCAGCAUAUUCCAUGUGCUGACCCAUUUUCGGGCUACAACAUUAAUGUUGCAGACUUUUCAGACGACGAUUAAGGAGUUUUUAGGUCGUGGUUCUAUACUCAGUGAUGCCGUUGGAGUUGAUGGACUCACUUAUCUUCCAAGCCUUCCGUUGUUAUCGUUAUUAGAUGGCCUUAAGCCAUAUUUAUUGUAAUAAGUUCUCUUUUGAGACACUCGAUGUAAUAAGUGUGUGAUUGCUACUCUCUUAUAAAUCUUUCGAGUACUGUGUGGUGUCAGCAUUAUUGAUCCAGGGAUGACACCGGAGCAUAGAGAUCAGACUGUUUGAGGUCUGGUCGCUACAGAGAUGGUAUCAGAGCACACGCUGACGGUAGGACACGACCACUAAGCACAAGACCUAGAUCACUAUUCACUCUCUUCUUUUCUGACCUCUCAUCUUUUCUACUCUUUAGGAUGGCGGACGCAAGGAACAAGUUCACGCAACCGGAUGAAGAUACACCCUUUGGACGUCACUUGAAGGAAGUCACUAGAUACCUGAAUAUAGGAGUACCAAGCUUCACGGGAACCUACAACGCCACUUUACCUGAAGAAGAGCGCUGGAUGAUUCAAGUUCAAGUUCCAGGAAGGACGUUCAUGCCAGUCACUGAGCCCAUAGAGUUUUCUUUUGAUGCACCAACUUGGAGUCUAGGAAAGAGCAUGGCAGCUCACAUCGCUAUGGGACGCAUUGGAGAAGUCUACCGCAAGGAUCUCAAGGAUACUAUCUACCAGAUUUGUGGGCGCCGAGAUGAACACUGGGGGAUGAUCAGCACCAGGAAGGAUAGAUCAAUCGCAGCUUUUAUCCAGGAGCUAAACCAGCACAUUCGACGACAGGAGAACCAAAUGUGCGCCGACAUGAUAGAUCUGAAGAAGGCCAAGACUAGAAUCAAGGAACUGGAGGAAGAACUCAAGGCUACACGUGAAGAUUAUGAAGAGGAAAUUGAAGUAUUGGUGGAGAAGAAUGACGACCUAAUCAAGAAGAUUGGAAUAUUUAUGGGAGGCCCUACGCCAGUAGAUGAAGACGAAGAACCUCAGGAGAUUAGCCCGGAAGACUACAUCAUCAUCGACGGCACCGACACGGAAGCAGAUAGUAGCGAUGAUGACUAUGUUGAUGAAGUUGGAGCAAAUAUCUUGGAGUCAACGACCGUAGAAUAUUUCUAGUAGACCACCUCAUCAGUAGUAGUAGUCCACCAUGUAAAUAUAGUAGUCCGAGCACUUUUGCGAUAGAUAGAUCGAUUGUAUGCCCUUGUUUGAUUAAUUGAAGUGAAUUGUUUGUUUUGCCUCAUGUGCAUAUGGGUAGUGUUUUCUCUUUAGACCCCCUCUAUUCUUAUAUCUCAUCUUUUCUAAACCCUCAGAUGCCUCCGAGACGUGACCCCGGAUUUGUCUUUCCACCGGAUCUCACCCAGUUGAUCCAGCAGCAGAACACAUUGAUGCAGUUGCUAGUCCAGAAUCAGAAUCAGGGGAACAACAACAACAACAACCCACCACCACCACCACCUGUUGACCACUUAGCCCGUUUUCUUAGGCUGAAUCCGCCAGUGUUUUCCAGUAGCAUCGAGCCGAUAGUAGCAGAUGAUUGGCUCCGCAAGACAGCUAGGGAGUUGACCACAGUAGGAUGCACAGAUGCGGAGAAGGUGAAGUUUGCCGCACAUCAGUUAGAACGACCCGCAGCAUCAUGGUUGGAGAAUUUCACAGCCACUUUCCCUGUAGACACUGUCACAUGGGACCAGUUUCAGCAGGCUUUUCAUACUGCACAUGUUUAAGCAGGAGCUAUGGCCAUGAAGAAGCGUGAGUUUCGCAACUUGCGCCAAGGAGGAAGGACAGUUGGCCAGUAUGUGGAGGAAUUUAGUAAGUUAGCACGUUAUGCCCCAUACGACGUCGCUACGGAUGCAGCUAAGCAGGAGAAGUUUUUGGAAGGACUGAUUGAUGAGUUGAGCAUGCAGUUGAUGGUAGCAACCUUCAACAACUACCAGGAGUUGGUAGAUCGUGCUCUUAUGAUUGAAGGGAAGCAGAAGCAGAUUGAGAAUCGCAAGAGGAAGUAUGGACAAGGGAAGUAUAAUUCAGGAGCUUAGCAGAAGCCACGUUUUACCCCUAGACCGGGAGGUCAUUUUCAGCAUACCAUGGAGGAGGUAGCUCGCACAAUCACAAUGGCACCAAGAAUGAUAAUGGCAAUGGAGGAAGCAACGGCCAGAACCGCACCAACCCCUCAACCCCAGCCAAGAAGGACUUGAGCCAAGUCACUUGCUUUAAGUGUUCAAAGACCGGACAUUAUGCCAAUGAAUGUCCUGAAUUACAAAAUGGAAAUAGCAAUGGAAGUUCUGGGAAGAAGCCGAACCCUUUCAACAGGGGACAGGUGAACCACGUUAGCGUGGAGGAGGUUGAAGCUUAGCCAGAUGCAAUAAUAGGUAAGUUUUUGGUUAAGUCAUUUACUGCACUCGUUCUUUUUAAUACUGGCGCAUCGCAUUCAUACAUCUCAAGGGGAUUUGUGGAUAAGUAUAACCCAUCAACCCAAGCCCUUAGGUCACCCAUGUUAGUAACCUCGCCCGGAGCAGAGUAUGUGGCUAGUCUAUGGUGUGACCGGUUACCAUUAAGGAUUGGUAACUAUGUUUUUCCCUCAGACCUAAUAGUAUUGGAAUCUCAAGGAUUGGAUGUGAUAUUAGGCAUGGAUUGGUUAUCAAAGUAUGAAGGGAAUAUUGUAUGUGCUAGUAAGUCAAUUUUGCUUACCACCCCAGAAGGGAGAAGGAUCAAGUAUGUAUCCCGGCAUGUGCCAAAGAGGACUCAAGUAAAUUGCUUAAUAGGAGUUGCGCAGCAGGAAGUAUCAGUGGUAAGGGGUUUCCCUGAUGUAUUUCCAGAGGAGUUGCCAGGCAUGCCACCGGAUAGAGAUAUUGAGUUUUUGAUUGAGCUAUUGCCAGGCGUAGGGCCAAUAUCAAAGAGACCAUAUAGGAUGCCAGCAAAGGAUUUGGUGGAAAUUAAGAAGCAGAUUAAGGAGUUACUGGAUAAGGGAUAUAUUCGCCCAAGUUCUUCGCCUUGGGGAUCACCAGUACUUCUAGUGGAGAAGAAGGAUGGAUCAUUAAGGAUGGUUGUUGAUUAUCGAGGAUUGAAUGAAGUAACGAUCAAGAACAAGUACCCACUACCAAUGAUCAAUGAUCUGUUUGAUUGGUUGCAAGGAGCUAAGGUAUUUUCCAAGAUCGAUCUGCGAUCAGGAUACCACCAGUUGAAGAUUCAAGAACAGGAUAUUCCGAAGACAGCUUAUACUACCAGGUAUGGGUUGUACGAGUAUACCGUUAUGUCAUUUGGUCUGACUAACGCACCUGCCUAUUUUAUGAACAUGAUGAACAAAGUGUUUAUGGAGUUUUUGGAUAAGUUCGUCGUAGUGUUCAUUGAUGAUAUCCUGGUUUAUUCAAAGAAUGAAGAGGAACAUAAGGAGCAUUUGCGUUUGGUACUUGGAAAGCUUAGAGAACAUCAAUUAUAUGCCAAGUUCAGCAAAUGUGAGUUUUGGUUGAAGGAAGUAGGAUUCCUCGGACAUGUUAUAUCUGGAGAAGGUAUAGUAGUAGAUCCCGCUAAAGUCGAAACCAUGACCAAGUGGGAAGCCCCAACAACAGUUGGAGAGAUCCAGAGUUUUCUUGGACUCGCAGGAUACUAUCGGAGAUUUAUUGAGAAUUUCUCAAAGAUUGCGAAGCCUAUGACUGAGUUGUUGAAGAAAGAUACCAAGUUCAUAUGGACAAAGGAAUGUGAGGCUAGUUUCCAGGAAUUGAAGAAACAUUUGGUUACCUCACCAGUGUUGAUUUUGCCAGACCAGACCAAGGAUUAUGAGGUGUAUUGUGAGGCUUCACGUCGAGGACUUGGAGCAGUGCUUAUGCAGGAAGGGAGAGUUGUUUCAUAUGCCUCAAGAGAACUGAAGCCUCAUGAGUUGAAUUAUGCCACGCAUGAUUUGGAGUUAGCAGCCAUAGUGCAUGCAUUGAAGACAUGGAGACAUUUUCUCAUUGGAAACCAUUAUGAGGUGUACACGGAUCAUAAGAGUUUGAAGUACAUUUUCACACAGAAGGAGUUGAAUCUCAGACAAAGGAGAUGGUUGGAGCUUAUCAAGGAUUAUGAUAUGAAAUUGCAUUAUCACCCCGGAAAGGCUAAUGUAGUAGCAGACGCAUUAAGUCGUAAGAGCCAUGUCAACACGUUAAUGACGGGAGAAAUACCCAAGGAGUUAGCAGAUAAUCUUCGUGAACUAUUCUUGGAAAUAGUUCUGAGAGGCUAUGUAGCAGCAUUGGAGAUUCAGUCAACUUUGAUGGAUAGAAUCAGGGAAGCUCAAAAGGCUGACAAAGAGAUUGCCGCUAUAAAGUAGAAACUGAGCAAAGGAAAAGCUAAAGGAUUUCGUGAGGAUGAGCACGACACCCUAUGGUUUGAAGACUGUGUUUAUGUGCCCAAUGACCCGGAGAUCAGGAAGUUGAUACUGCAAGAUGCACACGACUCACCAUAUUCGAUUCACCCAAGAAACAUCAAGAUGUAUUUGGAUUUGAAGGAUAUUUUCUGGUGGACCGGAAUGAAGAAGGAUAUUGCGGAGUAUGUAGCAGUUUGUGAUGUAUGCUAGAGAGUAAAGGCAGAGCAUCAGAAGCCAGCAGGAUUGUUACAAUCAUUGCCGAUACCCGAAUGGAAGUGGGAUUAGCUAGGCAUGGAUUUUAUCACGGGAUUGCCCAGGACUCGUUCAGGCUAUGACUCGAUUUGGGUUGUAGUCGAUCGAUUGACGAAAGUAGCUCAUUUCAUCCCAGUAAAGACCACUUACACCAGUGCUAAGUUGGCAAAGAUAUACAUGACCAGGAUCGUAUGUCUGCAUGGAGUUCCAAGGAGUAUCAUAUCAGAUAGAGGAACCCAGUUUACCUCAAAGUUCUGGAAACAGUUGCACGAAACUUUGGGUACCAGGCUAGAAUUCAGUACAGCUUUUCAUCCACAGACAGAUGGACAGACCGAGAGAGUCAAUCAGAUUUUGGAGGAUAUGCUGAGAGCUUGUGCGCUAGAUUAUGGAUCUAGUUGGGACGAUAAUUUGCCAUAUGCAGAGUUCUCUUACAACAACAGUUAUCAAACCAGUUUAAAGAUGGCCCCUUUCGAAGCUUUGUACGGAAGGAGGUGCAGGACAUCGUUGUCAUGGGACGAAGUUGGAGACCGCCAGUUGAUUGGACCUAACUUGAUUAGAGAGUCUGAAUAGAAGGUGAAGUUGAUUCGCGAUAGGCUCAAGGAUUGUUAGGAGUUCAUGAUGUGUUCCACGUUUCCCAAUUGAAGAAGUUUCACGCAGAGAUGGCUGACAUACCGUUGAGACAUACAGUGUCUUUGGAAACUAUUCAGUUGGAUAACGAUUUGACCUACGAGGAGAAACCAGUCAAGAUUCUCGAGUUUGCCAACCGAGUUACUCGCAGCAAGGUUAUUAAGUUUUGCGAAGUUCAGUGGAGCCACCACACGGAGGAUGAAGCCACCUGGGAGUGAGUUGGGGAUUUCGCUAUUUUCAUAUUUGAGUUUUCUCAAAUUUUGAGAAUAGGAUCAUUUGAUUUUAUUUAUUUUAUCAUCAAUUAUUUCUAUUACAAAAAUAUGAGAGAGGGAAUAAAAUGACUUUCCCAAAAUAAAGAAAUAUUGAGGAUUUAAUAAUAAAAUCAAAUAAGAUUUUACUUCGGAGUUUUUCUGUGUUUUAUUUGAAUUUAGGAAAAAAGUGCAUUUUUCAAAAUUGCAUUUUGGUCCCAAAUAAAUGUUCAACUUGUGCGGCUUGAUUUUAGAAGCCCGUGAAAAUUUAUUUCGGAACUUUUGGAGUCCGUUUAAUAUUUUUAUUUUAUUUUUCUUCCGAGCGGAAUAAUUAAAAAAACGAACCGACUUCGGGCCGUACCCGAGCGGGACACCGCCCGGGGGCAGCCUUUAAAUAGCGCCGCCCCGAGCCGCCCCAGCCCAUCAGCCCCGCCUCGAUCCGCGCGCGCCGCCGAAGCCGCCUCCGCCGCCGACGAUCCCGCCGCCCGAGGUUCGUCGAGCCUCGUUUUCUGUGCCGAAAAAAAAGAGAAAAAAUAUUCGACGUUCAUCGUUUUUCUUUUUCUCGGAUUAAGUCCGCGAUUUUUUUGAUCGCGAUUCCUGAUCCGAUUUUCGUUUUAGUAUAACUUUUCGCUCGUUUAUCGGAAUCAGGUGAUUCAAGCGCCUAGAGAUUCGUCUCGAAACCCUCUACCCGUUUAACCAACUUAAACAAGAUUUUCCUACUGUAAAAUUUGCCCUAGAUCCAGAUUACUAGAAUGAAGUUGUUCUCUUUCGCCGUUUGACUUUCAUUGUUUCGUUCGAUUUGAUUCUUUUUGCAAACCGGAGUUCUUAAGUUGAACCUUCUGGUUAGAUCUUUUAUCUGAGUUUUACCUAUGCAUUAGAUCAGUACUUAUUGUAUGCUUGUUUGUUUGUCUGCGAUAUAAUACCCGGAGUGCGCCGCCUGUUACUUCGAAUCGUUAGGUUUCGCGGAUCAUCAGCAAGGCAAGUAACACUUUGAUCAUACCUUUCUACUACCCAGUUUUAUUGCAUUAGAUCAAUCCUCACACAUUGCAUGAUUAGGAUCUAAUUAAAUUGUGGGAUGGGAAGUAGAUGAGGUAGUACCUAUUACCUGUUUAUUUUCAAACCUUUGGGAGUUACUUCUACGUUUGCUUAUUAUGCCAUGUUAUGCUAGUAGACGUGGAUUGGGUGAGUGAAAUCCAUGACAGAUGUGAUAUUGUUAAUUAAUGGUUUAUCUAAGGUGUCAACUUAAACACACAUCUGGGUGGAUUGAGGCACCUGGGUAUUCCAGGACUUGCCUGUUUUCUUUUUGGACCGCCACCCAGGCUCAAAGGGAUCAUGAGACUAUUCAUACUAGAAACUUCCGUGUGCAGCCACAAGCUAUUAUGGGCUCUAGCAUAGUUGACUAAGUUGUGCGAACUCUUACAGUGGUAGACUAGCAGAUGUAGGGGAUGUAGGUGGUACGGUCUACCCGAUCGUAAGGUGCUAGCGCUUUUGAAAGACUAUGUCUCGGUCAUCCGUCUUCUCAAACACCAUGUAGUGCGAGAAACCAAACGGAGGCAAUCGAGUCUUGUGGGGAAAAGUGUGCAAACCUCUGCAGAGUGUAAUAAACUAAUCAUGGUUAGCCGUGUCCCCGGUUAUGGACAUAUUUGGCUAGUAAUUAAAUUUUAUUCCUUUUAAGUAGGGGAAAAUUGGCUUUACGCAAAACUGUAACCAUAGAGCUUUCCACCAGCCAAAUAUGCAUAUAGUAUAGCUGUUACAUUCCAUUACUCUCUAUGUGUUACCUUGCCAGCAUAUUCCAUGUGCUGACCCGUUUUCGGGCUGCAACGUUAAUGUUGCAGACUUUUCAGACGACGAUUAAGGAGUUUUUAGGUCGUGGUUUUAUACUCAGUGAUGCUGUUGGAGUUGAUGGACUCACUUAUCUUCCAAGCCUUCCGCUGUUAUCGUUGUUAGAUGGCCUUAAGCCAUAUUUAUUGUAAUAAGUUCUCUUUUGAGACACUCGAUGUAAUAAGUGUGUGAUUGCUACUCUAUUAUAAAUCCUCCGAGUACUGUGUGGUGUCAGCAUUACUGAUCCAGGGAUGACACCAGAGCACAGAGAUCAGACUGUUUGAGGUCUGGUGGCUACAGUGCCCUAGAUAGCUGCCGCACGCAUCAUUGUUUUCUCUUUUCUUUAUGCUCUUGCGCCCUAGAGUGAAAUGAUGGUUGCUUCGUCCGUCCAGCUUAAUGCGGGAAAGGUGGGGCUUUGUGAUUUGACCCCUCGUCGCUCAUUUUCUACUACUGCGGCGCUACGACCGUGGUGCCUCCAAUUCCAACCGCUGCUCCGAACUGUAAUUUGGUGCAUCACACGUGGAACAAGACGGUGGAUGAGCCACAUGUCGGCCAAAGGGGUCCUGUUAAGUGUGUCGCCAUUUCGUGUGCGGACUGACCCUGCUUGAGUUGCUAUGCCUACCACUUGGUUUUGCUCCUUCGGGAAUCCCGACUAUAUUGAUCUAAAAAGAUACAUGUUGAAUUACCCUCUCCGUCUCGGUUUUUUUAUUUUUAGGCGUGUCGGUUUAUAGGGCAUGCACGUAG
rnacentral:lncRNA from 1 species